UCUUUGGUGGUAUUUCUGGAUCCUUACCAAGGCAGUUAUGGUAUAUGCCUUCUCUCAAAAUAUGUUGUAUUUGUGGUAUAAGGCAUAGUGACAUUGCCUUCUCUCUCAUCCUACUCUAAUAAAGCUUGUGAUAUCUGGAGCUCAUAGGUGGGAGAUAAAGUAUACAUACUUAAAACAUUUAUUGCAUAGUCAAACCAUGGAUCUAGAGAAACAAGUCAAUAAGUCAAAUCAAGAUGUGCAUGUGUGGCGAAUGAAUGGUGUAUGGUGAUGAUGGUGAUAGCAAUGGUGAAAGUCUAAUUCUACUUUUGCUCUUUUGAGGGGAUACAUACCUUUCUUGUUCUUUUGAAACUUUUUGAGGAGAAUGAGAUGCUCUAUAUUUUCUUUUUCUUUCCUCUUAGGUGGGUAUCUUGUACCCCUAAUUCUAGUGUCGGACACUUGUCCAUUUUUACCUCUCGUCUCACUUUUUUUUCUUUUCUUUCGAGGUUCCGGGCACUUGCCCCUAUUUAUUUCCUCGUAUCUUUUCUCUUUUUUUCUUAGAGCACUCAUCUCCUGAAAUAAUAUAGCAAGUAGUAGUAACCAAGAUAACUCGAGCAUUUAUUUCACAGGGGAAAACAGAAAUAUGAGAAUGUUUUUGGCUAUUCUCUCCCGUAUUAGGAGUAGAAUACUUUUGGGUGGCUUUAGAGAUGGAAAUGGGUGGAUAUAUGUGGAUGCGUACUUUCGGAGUAGAAGCAGCAUGUAUGAAUGAACGUGCAAGUGAAUCUUGAUUUAACCACAUGACAAGCUCCUAAGGGUCUACACAGCUUGACCAUACUCAAUGCUCAUAAGCAGUAAAAAGUAAAUGUGUGGCUCAAAGUCUAGCAAGCAUGUAUAUAUAUAGCUGUGGUAGGAAUUUAAACUCUCAUCAUACAGGAACUCAUCAUGUGAUAUUUUAAAGAUUUUCAAAGAUAAAAUUCUCCAGAAUUCUAGCAUCUCUAGGAACAGAUAAACAACAACUCAACCUUCUCAUAUCAUAUUCGUUAACAACUUAGACUUCAGAUCAAGUUCUCUUCCCACAAGUUCAGGUUUAGAGCAAGCUUUAAAUUAUAACAGUUAUAUCUAAACUAGAGAGAUAACUCAGAUUUGAAAAUUAGGCAGAGCAACUAUUCAUCAUAUCCAUGCUAGAGUUUUAUUAUUAAGAUUUAGUUUAGCAUAGCCACUUUAUUUAUUUAUUAAGCACACUAAGCAAAAGACAUAUAUAUAUAGAAGCACAAAAUCUUUAUUUGGUUUUCAUGGUUAUGUAUAUUUAUAUUUUAAUAUGGUAUAAGUAUAAAUGUAGAUAGAGAUACUUAGCUGGAUAAAUGGGGGUGCUCUCCCCCAAGCUGGAUUUUGACGUAAUUUCUUCUGAUCUAGCUAGCAGGUGGUGGAGGUGUAUUUGAAAGUCGGAAGCACCCUGAUAGCGAUUAGAAUGUCCUCCGUCUGCUAGUCUUCUUGAUCCUUGAAUUUUGUGGAGCUCAGAUAGACCACAAAGCUUUGUGGAACUGAUUAGGUGUUAGCAUAAAUAUCUAGCCUUUAUCAUGUUGAGCCUCCUCAAUAAAUAUUACUCUCUAUAUAUUUUUUAUAGAGCAGAAAAAAAUAUUUAUUUUAUUUUGAUGCCACCACAGUGAAUGUACUUAUGGUUUUUAUGCCACUUGUAUACUCACAUGGGGCUUACUGGUUUUUUAACAUUUUUAUUUUCUUUUUAGGAUAGUAUGAACAUGAUUAACUAAGAAAACUAUUUAAAAUAAUUGAAAGGGAAAGGAUAACUACCAAGUUUACAUCGUGGCGAGGCGUUCGAUGUUUUUAAGUCCUCCGAACGGGACUCUCCAUUUUCUUAGUUGUCCUGGGAUUUGUUGGAUGACGUAGUCAGUGCUUCCGGCAGUGCCUCUUCUUCGUAUACAACUAUCUUCUCUCUCCACACCUGACUCGGUGCUACGGUCUCCUUAGGACAAUUCUGUUCAAGUUGUAUGUCUUCAGACCUUUCUACUUCUCCUUCGUAGUCUUCCAAUCCGUCUUGAUGAUUUGCCUCCUCUGGUUGCGGUUGCAUCGUCUUCUUCGUGUCCUGACCUGCUUAGAGUCUUCAACUAUAUAGUUAGGGUCAGUAAAAUAGCGGCGUACCUUCUCAGAGGGGAAGUGCAUGUGGACUUCUCCGGUUCCAAUGUAGAUGAUUGCUUUAACGGUGCUGAGGAACAGUCUCCCAAGGAUGAUGGGUGGAUCAUACUCAUCUUUUCCCAUGUCAAUAACCUGAAAGUAUGUAUGGACAAAAUGAUCGUCUGUUUUGACAGGGACGUCAGUUAUUAUACCUUCAAGCCUCUUGGUAGUAGUCGUUCGUGAAAGCAUAAGAGGCGUCGGAGUACCGUCCUGCAUCGAAUUGGGGCUGGGGCCUAGACCUUGAGGCUCCAUAUGGAUCAGUGGAAUACCUGGCCAUACUAGAAGGUGGGUUUGUCCACUGGUGAUCUUGGCACUCCGGCCAUGUUUCCUGUUUUGACUCCUGCGGUUGAGCAUAUCGAACCCACGGGUCCUGAAGAACUUAGGGGUUGUAGUCGCGGUAAUGCAGGUACGUUGCUUCUUCAGGCCUGGAUCAGCUCCAUACCAGGUGCGUUCUUGAUGGGUGGUCAUCCUUUCAGAUGCCACUCGGUGUGGAGCUCUCUGGUUUACCGGUGCCACUGUUUCUUAUAGUUGGAUAGGAUCAAGAGUGGGGGUGUGAAUGAAAUCCUUGUUCUUUAGCUGCUGGAAAACUUCCUUCUCCCUGCGGGUCUUCCGUCCAAGGUCUCCUGUCUUGAGGAGGACCUUGUCUCGUGGAUCAGAUGAAUAUGACGGAGCUUGCGGGGGCGUCGGGUCGACGUUCAUCUCUGACUGGUGCAAGGAGUGUCGGGAUGAGCUCCUCGUACUAAUGUUCUUGAGGGCCUUCCCCGCGUUCUUCACCUUCUUCAUCAUCCUGCUAACAAAAGUUGACACAAACACAACUAGUGGAAAAUGUGAGAGAGAAAAAUGUUAAUGGUGAGCUGUCCGACAUGUUAGUAGUCCAGGGGUUAGUCGUCAAGAUAAGUUUUUAUUUUUGCAGCGCCUCCCCCUAAACAACUGUCCGCUCUAGACAGCGGGAUCACCACUUACUAGGUGAACCUCACUCUCUUAAUCAAAGACUACCAACCUUCCUUUCACUCUUCUCUUUCUCUCCUCUCUCCUUCCUACUCUACUACAAGAGCUCCUUCUCUAGAAACUGAAACUUGUGUGGCUUUUUGGAAUGCUUGUGUGAAGAAGUUGGAGGCAGGAGGUGGUCUUUUAUAGGCUGAAGGAGGGACAGGGCGGGCGCCCUCUGUAGGUGGGCGGGCGCCCACCUUUGGUGGCCAUCCUGGCUGCUUUUUACUCCCUCCAUUGCUUAUCUGUUACGCAGAAUAAUGUUGAGUGGGCGGUGGUUGGAUGGUAGAAAAAUGCUAGUGAGUGGAAACAUGUUGGUGGAUCACAAGAUAUGGUGUAUGACAUGUGGGACCCAAGGAGUGUGGGUCAUGCUUCUAGAAGGUUGCUAUAAUAUAAUGCAGGAAAAUCUAUGAGAAUUGAAACUUAUUGAAAUGAUAAUAGAAAAUAUAUAUUUUUUUGUGCCUCCACAAUAAUUAAUAAAUAUGGGUUGUCACACACCAUAAAUAUUAUUUAUAUGGGGCUUUUGAUUAUUAUAAUAAUGCUAUGAAUGAAUAUGGAUAAUGUAGGAAUUAAAUACGAGAGAAUUAAUGAUGCGGAUAAAUACCGAUUUACCUCCCGGUGAGGGUUUGGGAUUUUUAGGUCCCCCAAGCUGGACCUCCGAAUCUUUUAAUCUUCUGAAUUACCUUCCUCUAGAGAUGGUGUCGCCAGUGGUUCUUCUUUACUGGGGGUUCAAUGGUGGAUCUCCCUCUUUUUUGUAGUUAUAUUGCUCUUGCAGAAAUAUCUCUAUUAAUGUAGGUUGAUUGAAAUUACCUAAUUUCAUACCUUGAUUAUUGAGAUGUUUGUAUGCUGCCUCAAUGGUCCUCUGAUCUUUUUCAAGUAUUUCUUCUGUUUGGUGAUGAUGUUGAACUUUAUCUUGGAAUCAGCUUUGGUCUUCUGCUAUCUUGUCCAAAAGUAGUUCUGCUUCUCCAAGUGUAACUUCAAAAAGUGACCCUCCAGUAAUUGCAUAUAGGCUCUCACGAGCCUUUUGGGUUAAUCUACAGUGGAAGGUUUGGAUAAGUAACCAUCUGGGCAAUCCAUGGAGAGGACAUUUUGAUAUGUAUCCUUUAAAAUGCUUCCAUGCUUCUGGAAUGAUUUCUGUCUUCUGUUGUUGAAAGCCGAUGAUCUUUCUUCUUAAGGCAACUGAUUUGGUAAAUUUGCCUAUGGGGAAGAACUUUGCUAUAAAAGCCUUUGAACAGUUUGUCCAAGUAUUGAUAUCUUCUUUGUUGGUGUAGAACCACUUCUUUGCUCUUCCCUCAUGUGAGAAUGGAAAGAGACAAAACCGUAUGGUAUCUUGGUUGACUCCGUCGACUUUGAUUGUGCUCAUAAUCUCUAAGAAAUUCUGCAAGUGUGUCUUAGCAUCUUCAUGUGCCUUUCCACUAAAUUGUGUAGCUUGUUCCAAAUUGAUGAGGCUUGACAUGAGCUCGAACUCGGGUGCUCCUUCUUCUACUGCAAAUCUUGGACCAGUUGGAAUGUUCUCAAGAUUUGGAGCAGAGAAUUCUUGCAAGGUCUUUUGUGCCAUACCUUCAGCAAUUGGUAGAUAGCUUCUUCUUUCUUUCUUGAUUGCUUUGGUUCUCAUGAUGAAGAGUUCAAUGUACCAAAGUCAAUCCUAAUAUACCCUGUAUAAAAAUAUAAACAUAGAAAAACAACAGGGUGAACUUGCCAAAGCAGAGGUGCCUUGUUAUGAUUUCUCAUUUAGUAGCAGUUUAUGCAAUUAUUUCUCCAUAGUCUAGUCUAAUAUUUUAUGUGAAUAACCUUGACUGACUUCCUGACUUUCCUUACCAUUUUCCGGCAAUGGCGCCAGAAAUGCUGGUUGACACUUACUAACACCACUUGGAUACUAGGUUGUCAUCCCCACCAUGGUGCCAGAGUGUACAAAGGUAUUUAUAUGAAUAUAAAGGCUCUCUAGAAAAUAUUCUAUUCUAUCCGCAAGCGCACAGAUAAAAUACCUCAUUGUAGCAUUUCACCAGGAAAAGUAUUCCGGGUAUCAUUAUUUAUAUUUUGCUUAAGAGAACGGUAGAGGUGGGUGAAAUCUAUCAAGGCAUAGACUAGAGAUAAACUUGCAAGAACAUGAUUACUAAUGAGAAACUCGUCACACAGUCACUUGCUUUGGCAGGGGGUAAGCCAUAAUAAAAAUGAUAAUGAAAUAUAAGCUCAUGGGUAAAUAACAUAGCGAUUAGAAAAUAGACUACUCCUCAUAUAUGUAAGGUGACGUCGGAUUAGCUAGAUAAUGGAUUCUGAGUUAUCUACUACCUACUAAGUUACAAUAUACUCUAGUUAUCUACAAGAUCAUAUAUAGCACAAAAGACUCUUCAUUCAUGUAUAAGGAACAUUGCUAAAGUAAAUCAGAACAUCGCAAGACUUACUCCGCAAUACAAAUUCUGCCUGUCCUAUCAACGGAGGGUGGACUAUAUAAGAAUCAACGAAGCUGUCACCAUCGCGAACUACCACACGACCUAGCCAAUAGGAUACAUUAGUAGGUAAAUAACAUCUAAGCACCACGCCCACAUGUGAUCUACCACUUAACUCCCACGUGUCAAGAGCUAAGCGCUUUGCAAACUCAUACAUAAACUCAUUAUCAAUCAUAACUAUAUCAAAUAUAGAACUAGAGCAAACUAAGAACAUAAUAAAUAGAGACAUAAUGCAAUUAGAAUAAAGUAGUAGAGAAAGAUAUGAAAUAAUACCAAUCUUUAUUGAUGAAGAUCCGAAUCCAGAGCGCUAGGCUCUACUUCUCCAAUUCUAUCUAAUCAAUCCUAUAGAACUUGAAGGAACUAGGAGUAGCUAAUUCUAAUUCUCUGUGGGAGAGAAAUUCCUAAACCCUAACUUUGAUGGCUUCAUCUAAUAAUGAUUUCUCCUCCCCCUGGCGUGGAGAGGCCUUGCUUAUAUAGCCCCCUCAUAUGAAUUUGGGUCGUCAGAUCAAACCGACAUUAAUCGCACGGUUUUCCUUGAUCCUUUAGGUCGGUGGAGCAUAAUCCGCGAAGUUGGUUCUGAUUGGUCCUCAGACCACGGCGGGCGCCCAAGGGGGCAGGGGCGGGCGCCCUGCCCCUGGGCCCGUUCGUUCCCGUGGCUUCUGGACUCUUCUAGAUGUUAGAUAAUUACGCAACACAUUAUUAUCUCUAUGUAAACCCGACGUCUGGGCCUUUCUUCCAUAUCUCCUGAUAACCCCCUACACAAAUAGACAAACACCAAAACUCGUGGAAUUCUGUCAGAUAAAACCCUAAGUCUGGUUGUCGGUUGCAUUUGGAUCCUUUUCUUUGUUUAUUUAUUGAUUAUAUUUGAUACUUAAGGAUCGUCAACACAUGACAUACUCAAACACAAGCAUAGAGAGCUUAAAUAAACAAGUUAAACAACAUCUAUGCAUAAAGUGACAUGUUCCAAGGUGAAUGAUGACCAUGGUAUGCUUAUGAAGAUGAUGAUGCUCAUGUCAUGCAUUUGAAAGGAUGCAACUAUAACACUGGGGUGUUACACCUGAUAAUUAGUGGUUGAUAAAAGGAUGCAACUCCAUGGAGUGAGUGCUUUGAUUGUGGAUCAAAAUUUGGGGAUCCCUUCUUUCUUCUUGGCUACGAGUGAGCUGUGUCUCCCUUGUGUAAAAUUAUUGUGUCUCUCUUCAUCUCCAGUGUGAACUCACCUCAGGACUUUCCUAUUUUAGAUUUGAUAAUUUUCCUGCAGGGGUUAGUCCAAAAAAAAUAUUCCAAUAUCUACUAUAGCAUACUACCAGCUCAAAAAUCAACCAAGACACCAUGUUUAAUUUGAUUCAAGAAGUCAUUUUAACCAUGCAUAAUUAAAAGACUUUGAAAGUAAUAUCACCACUUCUAAACUAAGUACCAUACUUCAUUUAAGACAUGAAUGAAACUACUCCAAACCUAAACAUAUACUAUAGCAAACAAAGGUAGCAUGAGAGCAUUAUUCAGGUCUACUCUAAUAGUGACGAUAGAGCAUGUCUUAAAGGUCGAGAACAACCAAAAUGAUGUAGCAACAUGGCAAGAUGUAUCUAUGGAAGCAUAUUGUUGGGUAUUCUUAACAUCAUUACCAAAAGUAGACUUAGUUUUCUAAUUCUGAUAACGGUGCCAAAAUGCCAAACCUAUCCCUCAUACCACUUAAGCCAAGUUGUCAUCCCCAGCAUGACAUGAGAGACACGGUACUGAAAUAUGCAAUUGCUCUUCUAAAUAAAUAAUGAAUAGGAUCUGCAAGCACAUAGAUUAAUACCGAUGUAGCAUUUUAACCAGGAAGUAUUCCAGGUAUCGUUAUUUAUAUUUUUACCACUGGGAAGGGAUUAGCAGUCAUCAAUAUUUAUUACAGAAUAGAAUAUGAGAUUGAGUAUCUAUCAUUGCAUGUAUAAUUGAGAACAUUUAUUUAACUCUUUCAUACAGGGGUAAGUGUCACAUAAAGGAUAUAUAAAGUAAUAAAUAGUGACAAAGAUAAUUAAUCUGAUCAGCAUAACUUAGCCACAUAAUAAAUAUGAUAAGCACCUCAAUUAGAUACUCUAGAAAGUCAUUAGCAUGGAAUUAGAACGAACUACAAGAAUGUUUACUAAGUUAUUCUCAACUAUAUAGUCUAGCAUUAUCAUAGUUAGUGCAAGCAUACUUAGCAAUCAUUGCGAGACAAGACUCGCCCAUGCAUAGUGAUAUUAGCAAGGUAAAAGAGAAACAUAGCAAUCACUCCCCUGUAAUAAUGUUGCUUUGCCAGCCCAAUACAUGAGAGGGGGACUAUAUAAGAAUCAAUGAAGCUGUCACUAUCACGAACUACCCCACGAUAUGGCAUAUUGGGUACAAUCGCAGAUAAAUACAGUAUAAGCACCAUGCCUACACAAUAUCUAUCAUUUACCCAUGGAUCCAAUGGAUAAACGCUAUAUGAUCCUAAACAUGUAUAUAGAUCCAAUCUAACUAAGCCAAGUAUAUAACUAUGAUAAACUAAGAACAAUAUAAUUUUGAAUAUAAGCAAGUAGAGCAAAGUCAUAAGCAAUAUAUUGAAGUAGAACAAAGUCAUAUUCAUAAUAUUGAAGAACAAAGAUAAUUAGAAGAACAAUUAGAAGCACAAUUAGAGAAUUACCAAGAAUCCUCUUGACAGAUCCGCAAACCAAUCGAAGAUUGACUCCUUAUAGUUCUAAUCCUAUGUAGCUAUGCUAAUCUAGAUAUCUAAUUGAUGUGGUGGCUCUAAUCUUGAUCAGAGGCGUCUUCUCCCUUGAGGAAUAAUGAAUUAGGGUUGAGAGGCUCUCUCCUCCAGGGGCUAGGGGGUCUGGUUUUAUAGUCACUUCAAGUUAAUAUGGGCCGUUGGAUCAAACCGACUUUGAUUGAACGGUUAUCCUUAAUCCUUUAGGUCGGUGGAGAUCUUUUCCAAAAGAGAGUCCUGUUUAGACUCCAACAGGUGGCGGGCGCCCAGGUCAACUGGGCGGGCGCCUAGUGCCUGGCUCCGUUCGGCCUUCGCUUCCUUCCCGUGGCUUCUGGAGUCUUCUAGAUGUAAGAUAAUUGCACGGCACGUUAAUAUCUCUAUGUAAUCCCAACGUGUGGUCCUUUCGUCCGUAUUUCCUGAUAACCCCCUACAGAAAUAAACAAACACCAAAACUCAUGGAAUUCUGUCAGAUAAAACCCUAAGUCUGGAUGUUGAUUUCAUUUGGAUCCUUUUCUUUGUUUAUUAGGUAACUAAAUUUGAUACUUAAAGACCGUCAACAAACUCCCCCAAGCAUACCUCUUGCUCAUCCCUUAGCAAGGAUAGACUCAGUAAUGGAUCACAAGUUGCUGCAAUAUCUUUAAAAAUUGACGGUACACAUGCUUUUAAAUAAGAUCUCAUCUCUGAGUUAGAGUAAACUGUCAAGACUUAAAACUUAUUCAUCUUACCUUUCACCAUGGGACUUGUAACCGUCACUUCUGUCUUGAGUAGUUAAAAGAUAGAACAGUCUAGUCAAGUGCCAUGUCUCUUAUUCUUGAUCAGCUAUAGCUCUGGAGUUCUUGCAGAUUUUCAAAUAAAACUCAAAGAUUCCUUGUAUGACUCUCUUAGAUCUCUCUUUUGUGGUAUUUCUGGAUCCUUACCAAGGCAGUGAUGGUAUAUGCCUUCUCUCAAGAUAUGUAAUAUUUGUGGUAUAAGGCAUAGUGACAUUGCCUUCUCUCUCACCAUACUCUAAUAAGGCUUUUAUAUCUGGAGCUCAUAGGUGGGAGAUAAAGUACACAUACUUACAAAACAUUUAUUGUAUAGUCAAACCAUGGAUCCAAAGAAACAAAUCAAUAAGUCAAAUCAAGAUGUGCAUGUGUGGCGAAUGAAUGAUGUAUGGUGAUGAUGGUGAUAACAAUGGUGGAAGUCUAAUUCUACUUUUGAUCUUUGAGGGGAUACAUACCUUCCUUGCUCUUUGAUACUUUGUGAGGAGAAUGAGAUGCUCUUUAUUUCAUUUUUCUUUCCUCUCAGGUGGGUAUCUUGUACCCCUAAUUCUACAGUCGGACACUUGUCCAUUUUUUCCUCUCAUCUCAUAUUUUCUUUUCUUUCGAGGUUCCGGGCACUUGCCCCUUUUUAUUUACUCAUAUCUUUUUUUUAUUUUUAGAGCACUCAUCCUUUGAGAUAAUAUAGCAAGUGGUAGUAACAAGAUAACUUGAGCAUUUAUUUCAUAGGGGAAAAACAGAAAUAUUUUUGGCUAUUCUCUCCCGGAUUAGGAGUAGAAUGUUUUUGGGUGAUUCUGGAGAUGGAAAUGAGUGGAUAUAUGUGGAUGGUACUUCCAGAGUAGAAGCAGCAUGUGUGAGUGAACGUGGAAGUGAAUCUUGAUUUAACCACAUGACAAGCUCCUAAGGGUCUACAUAGCUUGACCACACUCAAUGCUCAUAAGCAGUAAAAAGUAAAUGUGUAUCUCAAAGUCUAGCAAGCAUGUAUAUAUGGCUGUGGUAGGAAUUUAAAAUCUCAUCAUACAGGAACUCAUCAUGCAAUAUUUUAAAGAUGUUAAAAAGAUAAAAUUCUCCAGAAUUCUAGCAUCUCAUGGAACAGAUAAACAGCAGCUUAACUUUCCGAUAUCAUAUCCGUUAACAACUUAGAGUUCAGAUCAAGUUUUCUUCCCACAUGUUCAGGUUUAGAGCAAGCUUUAAAUCAUAACAGUUAUGUCUAAACUUGAGAGGGAACUUUCAAAUUUUAAAAUUGGGCAGAGCAACUAUUCAUCAUAUCCAUGCUAGAGUUUUAUUAUUAAGAUUCAGAUUAGCAUAGACACUUUAUUUAUUUAUUAAACACACUAAGCAAAAGAUGUAUAUAUAAGCACAAAAUCUUUAUUUGGUUUUUCAUGUUUAUGUAUAUUUAUAGUACAUGUAUAAAGAUAGAUAGAAAUACUUAUCGGGAUAAAUGGGGGUGCUCUCCCCCAAGCUGAAUUUUGAUGUAAUUUCCCUUGAUGUAGCUAGCAGGUGGCAGAGGUGUAUUUGAAAGUCGGCAGUAUCCUGACAGCAAUUAGAAUGUCCUCCGUCUUCUAGUCUUUAUGAUUCUUAAAUUCUGUGGAGCUCAAAUAGACCACAAAGCUUUGUGGAACUUGAUUAAGUGUUAGCAUAAAUAUCUAGCCUUUGUCAUGUUGAGACUCCGCAAUAAAUAUUACUCUCUAUUUUUAUAUUUUCAUUUUAUAAAGCAGAAAUGAAAUAUUUGUUUUGUUUUUAUGCCACCACAGUGAAUGUACUCAUGGGUUUCAUGCCACUCAUAUACUCACAUGGGGCUUACUAUUUUUUAACAUUUUUAUUUUCUUUUUAGAAUAGUAUGAACAUGAUUAACUAAGAAAACUAUUUUAAAUAAUUGAAAAGAGAAAAGAUAACUACCAAGUUUACCUCUUGGCAAGGCGUUCGGUGUUUUUUAAGUCCUCCGAAUGGGACUCUCCGUUAUCUAGUUGUCCUGGGAUUUGUUGGGUGGCGGAGUCGGUACUUCCGGCAGCGCCUCCUCUUCAUGUAUAGUUAUCUACUCUCUCCACACCUGACUUGGUGCUUCGGUCUCCUCAGGAUAGUUCUGUUUAAACUGUAUGUCUUCAGCCCUUAUCACUUCUCCUUCAUAGUCUGCCCAUCCGUCCUUGAUGAUCUGCCUCCUCUGGUUGCCGUUGCGUCAUUUCCUGACCUGAUUAGAUUUUUCAAAGAUGUAGUUAGGGUUAGUAAAAUAAUGGCGUACCUUCUCUGAGGGGAAGUGCAUAUGGACUUCUCCGGUUCCAAUGUAGAUGAUUGCUUUAACGGUGCUGAGGAACGGUCUUCCAAGGAUGAUGGGUGGAUCGUACUCGUCUUCUCCCAUGUCAAUAACCUGAAAGUCUGUGUAGACAAAAUGAUCGUCUAUUUUGACAGGGACAUCACUUACUGUUCCUUUAACUUCUCAAAACGUCUGAUCUGCCAUCUGGAGCUGAAUAUAUGUUGGUUUUAAGGGCAUGGUUCCGAACAAGAGCCGAUAGGUGACUGCGGCCAUUAUGUUGACGCCCAAUCCUGUGUCGCAAGUCGUCUUGUAGAAGUUGUAUCCAUUUAUGGAGCAAUAGAUGCUUGGCAUUCCUGGGUUGUCCUUCUUGGUCAAAAAUGGUGACUUAAGUUGUUGAUCUUGGCCUCUAUGAACUGCAGUGACCAUCUUAGCUGACUCGGUCCACACUUGCUUGUUCCUAUUCCUCGUGUUGGUCCUCUUCCUUGAUUCACGUCUGGAUUGAUCUGGGAUUUGUGUAGUCUUGUUCUUGAAGGAAAACGUCUCCUUCCUCCCUUUGAUGUAGAAACUGAUCUUAGCAGCACUGGCGUAGAUGAUAGCUUCCGAGGUGUUUAAGAAUAGCCUCCCUAAGAUGAUGGGUGCCAUCUCAUCAUUACCAGUCUCUAUCACCACGAAGUCUGCUGGGGCGUACAAGGUACCAACUCAGACACAAAUGUUCUUCAAUAUUCCUUUUGCAAAACUUAAUGCCUGAUCUGCAAACUGCAAACACAUGGUUGUCUCUAAUAAAGGAUAUGUAAUGAAUUUUUCAUAGAGUACCAUGGGUAUAAUGUUAACGCUAGAGCCAAAGUCGCAGAGUGCUUCUGGGACGUCCACCAUGCCGAUGGAGAUCGAGAUGACGGGGCGUCCUGGAUCGCCUCUCUUGACCGGCAGAAGGUCAGUAGUAACUUCAGUGACGGGGUUACUCCAAUUAUUACCUGCAUCAAACAUGUCUACAAGAUUUGUAGAUUCUAAUCCUUCCGGUUGUGAUGGUAUACUGGGGUUAGUAGUAGGAACAACAGCAGCUAUUUGAUUUAACUGAGAUUCAAUCAUUUUAUUAAAGCUAAUUUAAUUCUUGAUGGCAGUAGAGAAAUUAUCCAUUCUAUUAUUUAUAUUUUCUAGCAUUUUAUCAUUAGAUGUCAUUUUCUUAGAUAGGUUAUCCAUUAGCUUUCCUUGAUUAGAUACUAACUCUCUCAAAGGUGGAAAAUUAUUAGUAUUAUUGUAAGAAUUAUUACCUUGAUAAUUACCUGAGUAGUUAGGCCUUUGUUGAUUCCAACCUUGAUUUUGUUGAGGACGGUUGUAGUAGUAGUUGUUGUUGUUGUUGAUGUAGUUCACAUCCUCAAGCAUCUCAGGGCAGUGAUUGCCUGAGUGUCCAGUAUCUCCACACUCCUCAUAAGUCAUGUGAGAAUCGUAGAUGUGCAUAACUUCUUUCUUAUCUCCAGCUCUAUCGUCGAGCUUCUUCAUGAGCAGGUCUAGCUUUACAGACAACAUGUCUACCUCCUUGAGCUGAUGCAUACCUCCACCUCUCUUGCGUGUCUGGGUCCUUUCUUCAUUCCAGUCUUGGUUGGAUGCCAUCUUCUCCACAAGAGCUGUGGCUUGUGAUAUGGUAAGUGAUAAGAAUGCUCCUCCAGCUGCAGCAUCCAUGGUUUCUCGGGCACUGUUGCCGAGCCCAUGAUAAAAUGUCUGCAUUAGUAGCCAACUCUCCAUUCCAUGAUGGGGACAUUCUAGGAUGUAGUCUUGGAAGCGCUCCCAUGCUUCUGGAACAGAUUCAUCAUUUUGUUGCUGAAAACUUGUAAUUUUCCCACGGAGAGCAUUGGUCUUGCCCAUGGGAAAGAACAUAGCCAGGAAGUUUGUUGAGCAGAGUGCCCACAUAGUAUUCUUCUCCUUUGUAGCUGUUGACGGUCCUUAAGUACCAAAUAUAAUCAUCAAAUAAAUAAAGAAAAGGAUCCAAAUGAAAUAAACAUCUAGACUUAGGGUUUUAUUUGACAGAAUUCCACGAGUUUUGGUGUUUGUCUAUUUCUGCAGGGGGUUAUCAGGAAAUAAGAAAGAAAGGCCCACAUGCCAGGAUUACAUAGAGAUAUCAACGCACCGUGCAAUUUUCUACCAUCUAGAAGACUCCAGAAGCCACGGGAACGAACGAGAAGGCAAACGGGCCCGGGGGCAGGGCGCCCGCCCACCCCCCUUGGGCGCCCGCCCAGGUGUUUCCACCAAUCACAAUCUCAUCGAGCUGAUCGAAAUGCAUAUAUUAUUUGCUAUAUUUGGAGUUCGGAAUCAAGAGAUAUUAAUAAAAGAAGGACUCCACAUAAAAGAGCUGCGGGAUUAAUUGGGCCCAAAUCAGAUUUUGGUCCAUUAAGGCCUAUGUGCAUUUUAAUGAGAUAUGGUGGAAAGUUUAGUACCACAUCGCCUGCUGAACCAAAAACGCACAGAGGAGGAGGACUAUAUAAGCAAGGCCCCUGGCCCCUGGAGAAGACAAGAAAUUAUCAUAGAGAUUGAGGGGUGCCCUCGAAGGAAAACCUCUUCUCUAAAUAAUAUUUCUUUUUAGGCUUAGCAACCAAUGUAAAGUAGAAAUAGAUCUUCUAGUUUCUACUAGAUUGAGAGAGAUAGAGUGGAGGUGUGGAUCGGAGGAAGGCCGGCUUGUCGGUGUCUACUCCGAGUUGUACCUACGGGAUCAAGUCUCCUAACCCGAGGCUUGCUUCUAAGAUUCUUUAGUAAUUCGACUUCUAAUACUAGUAAGUUCUUGUUUUAUUGUUCUUUGGUUUAUGAGUUUACUUUAAUCCUCUUCCGGUUGAGUAUUAGAGUAAUCACUUGCUAGCGUAAACGUGGUGUUUAGGCUAGGGUACUCAUAGAUAUCCCCUGACUAGCUGGACCGUGGUAGUAGCGAGGAACGUGACAUUUCCGAGUUACCUUUGGAGAUCACAUCUCGUUAGCAGGACGGGUAGGUUUAUAGGUGCGGGUCGAACAUCCUUUGUGUUGUCUAGAUUCCGUGAGCCUCCCCAAUAGAACAGUAGAUCAUCCUUACCAAGGUUAGAACGAGACUACGGUUGCAGUCUUCUCUAUACAUCACUCACAUCGAGAGACAUUCUUUGUAGCAUAAAGGGAUAGUAGCAAUAGAUUUGGUUAGUCAGAUGCACCCUUUCUUCCAGUGGUAAAAAUAUAAAUACGAUACUCUGGAAAACCUCCUGGGUGAAAUGCUCACCGAUAUCUGUGCGCUUGCGGAUCAUUUUCUAAUUGCGUUACCAAAUAUCAACAGUAGCGUAGAACCACUGCUUCGCACUCCCUAACAGUGAGAAUGGGAAGAGGCGAAGUAGUAUAGCAUCUCUAGGGACUCCUGAUAUGGUAAAUGUGUUGCAAAUCUCCAGGAAGUUGGAGAUGAGCACUAGCAUCUUCGUGUGCCUUCCCACAGAACUGGUUGGAUUGCACCAUGUUGAUAAGUCCAGGCUUGAGCUCAAAGUUGCCAUCGAUCUCUGCGGCAGGUCCAGUGCGGAUGUUUUCCGUAGUGGGAGCUGAGAACUCGCGGAUUGAUUUGUUCGCCAUGGCUUCGAACUCUGAAGACAAGUUCCGGUGAUCUUCUUGAUUGGAUGAAGCUUCUUGCUGAAGUGUUGAUGAUCUCUUCUUGAGCUUGGCUCUUGUUUUUCUGAAUAACGCUUCGGGAUUGUCAACAAAAUUUCCUGGAAGAUGUCUUCUAUUCAUACAUUCCCCUGCAUAAGAUAAAAUAGAAAAAUAUCGGGGUAAAACUGUAUGAGAGAAUAGAUAAGCUCAAUCAUAUUAGUGAUGCGAAUGAUAACUCAAAAUUCUAUAUUCAUUCCUGAUUAGUAAUCAACCUUCCCCGGCAACGGCGCCAAAAAUGCUUGUUGGGUAUUCUUAACAUCAUUACCAAAAGUAGACUUAGUUUUCUAAUUCUUAUAACGGUGCCAAAAAUGACAAACCUAUCCCUCAUACCACUUAAGCCAAGUUGUCAUCCCCAGCAUGACAUGAGAGACGCGGUAUUGAAAUAUGCAAUUGCUCUUCUAAAUAAAUAAUAAAUGGGAUCUGCAAGCGCACAGAUUAAUACCGAUGUAGCAUUUUAACCGGGAAGUAUUCCAGGUAUCGUUAUUUAUAUUUUUACCACUGGGAAGGGAUUAGCAAUCAUCAAUAUUGAUUACAGAAAAGAAUAUGAGAUUGAGUAUCUAUCAUUGCAUGUAUAAUUAAGAACAUUUAUCUAACUCUUUCAUACAGGGGUAAGUGUCACAUAAAGGAUAUAUAAAGUAAUAAAUAGUGACAAAGAUAAUUAAUCUGAUCAGCAUAUCUUGGCCACAUAAUAAAUAUGAUAAGCACAUCAAUUAGAUACUCUAGAAAGUCAUUAGCAUGGAAUUAGAACGAACUACAAGAAUAAUUCCUAAGUUAUUCUCAACUAUAUAGUCUAGCAUUAUCAUAGUUAGUCCAAGCAUACUUAGCAAUCAUUGCAAGACAAGACUACGCCCAAGCAUAGUGAUAUUAGCAAGGUAAAUGAGAAACAUAGCAAUCACUCCCCUGUAAUAAUGUUGCUUUGCCAGCCCAAUACACGAGAGGGGGACUAUAUAAGAAUUAAUGAAGCUGUCACUAUCACGAACUAUCCCCACGAUCUGGCAUAUUGGGUACAAUCGCAGAUAAAUACGAUAUAAGCACCACGCCUACACAAUAUCUAUCAUUUACCCAUGGAUCCAAUGGAUAAACGCUAUACGAUCCUAAACAUGUAUAUAGAUCCAAUCUAACUAAGCCAAGUAUAUAACUAUGAUAAACUAAGAACAAUAUAAUAUUGAAUAUAAGCAAGUAGAGCAAAGUCAUAAGCAAUAUAUUGAAGUAGAAAAAAGUCAUAUUCAUAAUAUUAAAGAACAAAGAUAAUUAGAAGAACAAUUAGAAGCACAAUUAGAGAAUUACCAAGAAUCCUCUUGACAGAUCCGGAAACCAAUCGAAGAUUGACUCCUUCUUGUUCUAAUCCUAUGUAGCUAUGCUAAUCUAGAUAUCUAAUUGAUGUGGUGGCUCUAAUCUUGAUCAGAGGCGUCUUCUCCCUUGAGGAAUAAGAAUUAGGGUUGAGAGGCUCUCUCCUCCAGGGGCCAGGGGGUCUGGUUUUAUAGUCCCUUCAAGUGAAUAUGGGCCGUUGGAUCAAGCCGAUAUUGAUUCAACGGUUAUCCUUGAUCCUUUAGGUCGGUGGAGAUCUUUCCCGAAAGAGAGUCCUGUUUGGACUCCAACAGGGGGCGGGCGCCCUGGUCAACUGGGCGGGCGCCCAGUGCCUGGCCCCGUUCGGCCUCCGCUUCCUUCCCGUGGCUUCUGGAGUCUUCUAGAUGUAUGAUAAUUGCGCGGCACGUUAAUAUCUCUAUGUAAUCCCGACGUGUGGGCCUUUCUUCCGUAUUUCCUGAUAACCCCCUGCAGAAAUAGACAAACACCAGAACUCGUGGAAUUCUGUUAGAUAAAACCCUAAGUCUGAAUGUUGAUUUCAUUUGGAUCCUUUUCAUUGUUUAUUUGAUAAUUAAAUUUGAUACUUAAGGACCGUCAACACAUAUCCCCCAAGCUUGACUUUUGAAAAAAAAUCAAGAUUGGGUGAAAGUAAUUCAAUGUUGCAAAAUGAUUGGUUGGACAUACCUUGCAUUUAUCACUCCUUUGAUCUUUUUGCUCCAAACCUGGUAAGGUUAGUGACAAGAACACCCGAAGGAAUAUUUUGACAAUUAUAAUUUUAUGCUCAAUUAACAAGGGUAGCACAAUAGGAAGGUGAACACUCGUGUCAUGGUCUAAACAGUUCUUAUUUAAGGACACUAAGCUUGUCCUUGGUAAACCUUCAAAUGUUUUUGGUGAAGUGGUUUCUCUUCCAACACCAACCUUAAGAGCACAAUGAGAUCUGCAAUAUUUAUGAUAUACAUAUGCAUCGACAACUGUUGGUAUAAAUUAACUACACUCCAUUUAAAUAGAUUUAAGUAAGAUUAUCCGCAAGCGCACAGAUAUCAUACCAGUGUUACAUUUUACCUUGAGGUUUUAAAUAUCGAAUCCACAGGGAACAGUUGUGAUGAUGACAUAGUAUAUAGACUUAACCCUACAAUUAGGCUAGAUUAUAUCAAAAAAAGGAAAUAACUAAUGCACUCUGGUUCUGACUCUAGUAAACUUUGUAUAAUACCAUCUUAUCGGGCAAGUAAUCCGAAUAGGGGAAGAAUCAGAGUAAUCCCCUAUCAGGCACCUAUAAGCCUAUCAACCCUAUCAACGGGAAGUGGACUAUAGAGGAAUCAACAUAGCUGUCACCUACGGGAACUACCACUGUCCGGCUGAUCAGGGGACAUUCGCAAGUUAACCUAACAUAGGCACCACGCCUACACUACAAAUUACUACUUCAACCAAGUUACGACCAAGAUCAAAGCACUCAGUAUGAGUUGUGAACUAAAGAACAAAUAAGAACAAGAUGCUUACUUAAACUAGAAGGGUAAGUACAAAAGUACCUCAGAACGUAGCUUUGGGCAAGGGAACUGAAUCUAGACGAAUAUAGCUACGAAGAAGCAAUGACAGGCCGGAACUCCUCUAGAAUCUCUACUCCUCUACUUAAUCUCUCUAAUCCUUAAACAAGACUAGAUCUAGAAGAACUUGUCUCUCCUAAUUGCUACAUCUAGAUGAACUAGAACUAGAUAAACUAGAGGGACCCUAACCCAAAUUAUGUAGAGAAUAUGAAGCGCCGGGUGUGUAGAAUGCCUCCUGGAGGGAGCCUUAGGCGUCAUUAUAUAGGCUGAGGUAGAGUAGGGGCAAGGAACUGCCACAUCAGUGAUCCACGACUUCGUCUUGUGUGCACUAUCGAUCAAACCGGCUAAAAAUCGACAGAGGGAUACUUUGCUUGGCUUCCAAGGAUGCAUGGGAGGAAGACUCAAGAAGGCGGCAGACAUUGGGCGAAACAGGGCGUCGACCGGCCCUAGGGUGGGGCCGGCUGGCCCCACCUUUUAUCCUCCAUGGCUCUCGUUCCUUCGGGUGUCUUCUAUACACUUCCUGAGUCUUCUCGUGAUAUUUUCCGGCGUGUAUGACUUUCGUGGUAAAUAUUGUUGAUAUUUGGGAACGCAAUAAGGAAUUGAUCCGCAAGCGCACGGAUAUCGGUGAGCACUUCACCCGGGAAAUUAUCCAGAGUAUCGUAUUUAUUUUUUUACCACUAGGAGAAAGAGUGCAUCUGACUAACCGGUCUAUUACUACUAACCUUUAGGCACAAAGAAUGUCUUUCGAUGUGAGUGAUAAAUAGAGAAGACUGCAACCGUAGUCUCCUUCUAACCUUGGUAAGGAUGAUCUACUGUUCUAAUGGGGAGGCUAACGGAAUCUAGACACCACAAAGGAUGUUCAACCCGCACCUAUAAACCCUAGCCUUCCUGCUAACGAGAUGUGAUCUACAAAGGUAGUUCGGAAUUGUCACGUUCCUCACUACUACCACGGUCCAGCUAGUCAGGGAAUAUCUAUGAGUACCCCAGCCUAAACACCACGUUUACGCCAGCAAUGAUUACUCUAAACUCUAUGCGAAGAGAUUAAAGUAAACUCAUAAACCAUAAGAACAAUAAAACAAGAACUUACUAGAAUUUAGAAGUCGAAUUACUGAAGAAUCCUAGGAGCAAGCUUCGGGUUAGGAGAACUUGAUCCCGCAGGUACAAGCUUGGAGUAGACACCGACAGGCCGGGCUUCCUCCACUCUUCACCUCCACUCUAUCUCUCUCAAUCUAGUAGAAACUAGAAGAUCUAUUUCUACCUUACAUUGGUUGCUAAGCCUAAAAAGAAAUAGUAAUUAGAGAAGAGGUUUUCCUUCGAGGGCACCCCUCAAUCUCUAUGAUAAUUUCUUCAUGUCUUCUCCAGGGGCCAGGGGGCCUUGCUUAUAUAGUCCUCCCCUUCUAUGCGUUUUUGGGUCGAUAGGCGAGGUGGUACUAUGUUUUUCUUGAUCCAAUAGGUCGGUGGAAUAUCCCGAACGAAAGAGUCCUGAUUUGGCUCCAGCAGGGGGGCGGGCGCCCAGGCUACCAGGGCGGGCGCCCUGGGCCUGGCCCAGUUUUGCCUCCGCUUCGGUCUCGUGGCUUCUGGAGUCUUCUAGAUGAUGUAAAAUUACGCGGUGCGUUGAUAUCUCUAUGUAAUCCCGACAUGUGGGCCUUUCUUCCUUAUUUCCUGAUAACCCCCUGCAGAAACAGAUAAACAACAAAGCUCGUGGAAUUCUGUCAGAUCAAACCCUAAUUCUAGGUGAUGGUUGCAUAUUGGUCCUUUCUCUUGUUUAUUUGAUAAUUUAAAAUUGAUACUUAAGAACCGUCAACAAAUACCCCCAAACUUAGGCUUUUACUCGUCCUCGAGAAAAGGAUGGUUAAGAAAAAUAUCUAGGGUAAACUUUUUAAAGUAUUCUCUUUAUAAUUGUAGGGUGUUAAAAAUUUCCACUGUGUACCAUAGCCAGGGAUAUAUAUGAUCAAGAGUAAAGAUCCUUUCUUCUCAAUCUUGCCACUUGGAGCUUUUGUAUAUUUUUGAAAGAAAGUUAGCAUACCUUUUUAUCCUCAUAGGUUCUCUCAGAUCACUCAUUAUCUUUUAUAUAUCUCACUGAGGCUGUUCUAUUUUGCAAAAAUUCUCAAGCAUACUUACUUUGCAUUUAUUGCCUAAUCAAAACGGGAUCCGAGGAGGGGAAUGUCAUACUCUUAGAUCAAAGACUUUGGAAAUUAAAAACUUUGUCAUCUCUUGCUGGCAUAUUGCUUAUUAGAGGGACCAUGGGCUAUCAUUUUUUUCUCUUUUCUCUUCUUUUUUUUAAGUGGAUACCGAGGUACCCCUAAUUCUACUGCCGGACACUUGUCCAUUUUUUCUGCGAGGUUGUCGAGCACUUGCUCCUUUUUAUUUCCUCGAAAUAUCUCUAUUUUUGCAUAGCCCAUGCCUCUAAUGCAAUAAUACUUCGGAACAGUGAAUCUUUCUGAAAUAAUGUCUUGAUCUUAGGAGCAUGAUAAAUCUCUCAACAAGGGUCUAACUCAUUUUAAACAAACUCAAUACAGAGCAGAUAGCUUUUAUAAUCAUAAUUAAUAUUUUCAGUUUUAUCAGGCAUAUAAAACACUGAGGAUGGUAGCUAGAAUUUUGAACAUUUUGAAAUAAAUUCUCCAAGCAACAAUGAUAUCAAGAAUAAGAAACUCAUACUCUACCAUCACAUAUUCCAUAUUGACUUAAGUAACACAGGGUUUUAAAAUGAUUUUAUAAUAAUUGCAAAUUUUCAGGAAAUAUCAUAGAUUGAGAUUAAUCAUGAUUAUAAAUAUUUUAAUCUUUUUUAUUUUAUCAUGUCGGAAACAAUAAUCUGCAUAAUCCAAAAUAUAUAUAUGUGUAAAGUAAAGUGUGCAGAGUGUGUACCUAAGUGGUGGAGUUGGAGUGUGUUUGGCAUGUCGAGGGAUCUCCCCCAUACUUGUUUUCUGCUUUCUUACAAAAAUAAAGUAGAGACACAAAAGACAUAAUAAUAAUACUCUUUAUUAAUCUUGAGGCAUUUAUUACAAAAGACUAGUAGCAAACUGAUGAUAAUAGUAAACUGAUGAUAAUAGUAAACUGAUGAUAAUAGCAAACCUAAACCGAAUUUAAAGAUAAAUGACUAAGAUGUAUUGCCUCAAGGUCUAAUCUAGAUAACUUAGCGGCGCUCUAAUCCCUUGAUCUUCUUGUUGGCACUGGCAAGAUCCUGCCUAAGGCCUAGUAUAAUGGUCUUGUGGUUAGAGAGCUGCCUAGUGAGGGAGUUGAUCGAGGACUGGAGAUCUAUGAUAACUCUAUCUAGCCUGCGAACUUCCUCAUCAAUAUCUAUUAUAGUCUUGCGACGCUUGGGAGGUGUCUCAAAAGCAUUCAGAGAGUGCUUCGGGGCUGCCUUUGGAGGGAUGAAACGGACUUUGGAUGCUCUAAUCCCUUCAAAGUAAGGCCUUUCCUCCUCCGUAGUGUAGCGAACACUGCUGAUCUCGCCGCUCCGGCUGGUCUUGACUCCAACGACCCUCUCAUUGGGUCUAGGUGGAAGGAUCCUUGUGCCGAUUGGCACCUUGAUAGUGGUCUUCGUCUUGGAUGAUGGUCCUUUGAGGAGUAGGGGUUGUGGUGGUGCGGUGAGAACUGGUUGAGCAUGGUAAGAUUGGGCGGAGCUACGUUGGCAUGAUGGCAUGGCUUCUAGCUGACGCUCUGUGUUGGCCGGGACGAGAGCACGGGCAUCGGGGUCUUCCACUGGCUCCAUGUUGAGGUUGAAGGGGACGACUUCCCAAUCGUCGUGGUACUUGUCGGCCAUUGGAGCAGCAAGGAACUAAUAAAAUUUUAAUUGAAGUAGGGUUUAUCAAGCUCUAAUUGAAGGAGAGCUAAUCAAGCUCUAAUUGAAGGAGAGAAAGCUUGGUGGCCUGGUGUUUGAAAACUGAGGUCAGGGGUCUGUUUAUAUAGGGGUCAAAAGGAUGCCUCUAUGGGUUGUUCGGGUUGCUCCCGUCGAUGUGCGUGCGAAACUUUCCAUCCGAGGGAUUAUUCGGAUCACCCUAAGUGCAUUUUCCAUAACAGAGAAAGUCGGGACCGAGGGGGAAUAGGGGCUGGGCGCCCGCCCACUUGAGCUGGGCGCCCGCCUUCUCUCUGGCCCCUCUGUGGGCCCACUUCUCCGAGCGCGUUUCUAGAUGCGGAAUUAUUUAGAAAAAUAUAUAUAUGACCCAAAACCAUCAGACCAAAAGUGUCGGGCUCUAAUUCUCUAUGGGAAGGUAAAAAUGGACUACGUCUAUUUCUUCAAAUUCCUCAUUGGGCUCUAAAAAUAAUUUAAGACGUUGACCAUUUACCUUGAAUAACGUACCUUCGCUAUUUUGAAGUGUGAUAGCUCCGUGGGAUGAUGAGUUGAUUACCUUGAAUGGCCCUUCCCAUUUGCUCCAGAGUUUUCCAUGCCCGAAAAGCUUUACCCUGGAAUUAAAAAGUAAUACCUUAUCUCCGGGUGUGAACUCCUUCUUCUUGAUUCUCUUGUCAAGCCACCUCUUGACUCUUUCUUUGUAGAUCUUUGAAUUGUGAUAUGCCUUCUCUCGCCAUUCUUCUAAUUCUGAUAGUUGCAUUCUUCUAUAAUCUCCAGCAAUAUCUAGGUCCAUAUUCCAUCUCUUUAUGGCCCAGUGUGCUUUGAACUCUAGUUCAACAGGUAGAUGGCAAGUCUUCCCGUACACCAAUUGGUAUGGAGACAUUCCGAUUGGGGUCUUGUAUGCUGUCCGGUAUGCCCAGAGUGCAUCAGGUAGCUUGUCUUUCCAUGCCGUUCCCAUUUCAUUUACUGUCUUCUGAAGAAUAUUCUUGAUUUGUUUGUUGGAAGUCUCUGCUUGGCCACUUGUCUGAGGAUGAUAAGGGGUAGCAACGUUGUGACGGAUUCCAUGUCUUGAUAGACAUUGCUUGAAGCGUUUGUCGAUGAAGUGUGCUCCUCCAUCACUUAUCACUACUAUGGAACUCCAAAUCUUGGAAAUAUAGUUUCUUCAAACAUCCUCUUUGAACUGACGUUGUCGGCAUGCUUGCAAGGUAAUGCUUCUACCCACUUGUAGACAUAGUCAACCGCCACCAAGAUGUACUCGCACUGCUUUGAUGGAGGAAAUGGACCCAUGUAGUCUAUUCCCCAGACAUCAAAGAGCUCAAUCUGAAGGUUGUUGGUGAGUGGCAUUGCAUCCCUUGUAUUUAUGUUUCCGUGUCUUUGACAUGGCCCACAUCUUCUGAUAUAUUGCUUCGUGUCUUCAUACAUUGUAGGCCAGUAGAAUCCACACUGCCAGAUCUUUGAAUGUGUACGGAAUGCUCCAUAGUGACCUCCAUAUGGUGAUGAAUGACAUCUGUCGAUGAUCUUCCAUCCUUCCUCAGUGGUCACACAUCUCCUGAGUAAGCCAUCAGAGCAUACUCGGAAGAGGUAUGGCUCGUCCCAUAUAUGUGAACGACUUUCUUGAAUAAGCUUCUUCUUGUUUGCUCCUGGUGGUACAUACCCUGAAACCAUAAAAUUAACAAAAUCUGCAUACCAGGGGUCACACCUGUUAAUCCCGUAGAGCAUGUCGUCCCGGAGUGAAUCAUUGAUGGGGGUUUCCUGUGGAUUCUUAAAAUACAUUCUAGACAAGUGAUCAGCAACAGAAUUUUCUACUCCUUUUUUAUCUUUUAUUUCUAAGUCAAAUUCUUGGAGUAAUAAGAUCCAUCUAAUCAGGCGAGGUUUAGCAUCUUUUUUAGUGAGCAAAUAUUUUAAUGCAGCAUGAUUAGUGUAAACAAUUAUUUUAGCUCCAACUAAAUAAGAUCUAAAUUUAUCAAUGGCAAAGACAAUAGCCAGAAGCUCUUUUUCAGUAGUUGCAUAAUUAAGUUGAGCUCCUGUCAAAGUUUUACUGGCAUAAGCAAUUGCAUGAUGCUUCUUAUCUUUAGUUUGUCCCAAUACUGCCCCCACAGCAUAAUCACUAGCAUCACACAUAAUUUCAAAAGGCAACGACCAAUCAGGGGGUUGAAUGAUUGGUGCAGAGAUGAGUGCUUUCUUUAAUAAAUUGAAAGAUGUUAGACAUGCAUCAUCAAAUUCGAAAGGAGCAUCCUUGGCUAGCAAAAGAGUAAGUGGUCUAGCAAUAAAUGAAAAAUCUUUUAUGAAUCUACGAUAAAAACCAGCAUGGCCAAGAAAGCUUCGAAUUCCUUUUAUAUUCAAAGGUGGAGGUAGUUGUUCAAUUACUUCAAUUUUAGCUUUGUCGACCUCAAUACCUCUUUCAGACACUAAGUGUCCUAGCACUAUUCCUUCCCUAACCAUAAAAUGACAUUUUUCCCAAUUAAGGAUUAAGUGCUUUUCUUCACAUCUUUGCAAAACCUUGUCUAAGUUUUCAAGACAACUAUCAAAAGUUUUUCCAAAAACAGAGAAAUCAUCCAUGAAAACUUCCAUAAUCUCUUCAAUCAUAUCAGAAAAUAUAGACAUCAUGCAUCUUUGAAAAGUAGCUGGUGCAUUACAUAACCCAAAAGACAUUCUACGGUAAGCAUAAGUUCCAUAAGGGCAUGUAAAAGUGGUUUUGCUUUGAUCAUCAGGAUGGAUCAGGAUUUGAUGAUACCCUGAAUAUCCAUCUAAGAAACAGAAGAACGAAUGGUUUGCUAACCGCUCUAGCAUCUCAUCUAUAAAAGGUAAAGGAAAGUGAUCCUUUCUUGUGGCUUUGUUUAAUUUUCUAUAGUCUAUGCACAUCCGCCAUCCUGUGACGGUGCGUUGCGGAAUUAGCUCGUUCCUUUCAUUCAUAAUAACUGUCAUGCCUCCCUUUUUGGGCACAACUUGGACUGGGCUCACCCACUCACUGUGCGGCACAGGAUAUAUAAUCCCUGCAUGCAACAACUUUAUAACUUCCUUUUUUAACUACCUCUCUCAUAGUAUUAUUAAGUCUACGUUGGGGUUCUCGAGAGGGUGUAACAGAAGGAUCUGUUGGAAUACGAUGGGUACAAAUCAUAGGACUGAUUUCUGUAAGAUCUUGGAGUGAGUAGCCAAAAACUGAGUGAUGUUUCUCAAGAAUGGUCAUUAAUCGCAGAGUUUGAUCCUGAGUGAGUUUAUCACUAAUGAUUACUGGGAACUCUGGAUUAUUGUUUAGGAAAGCGUAUGUAAGACCGGGUGGUAAAGUUUUAAGCUCUAUGGGAGGUCUAGGUGUUUCUGCAAACUCAUCUAAGGGUUCAGGCUCGGAAGGUUCGUCUUCUUCUUCUGUGAAGAAAGGAGUUUCGUCUUCUAAGUCUGGUUCAUCUAAAAGCUCUAGAGAUGCAGCCUUUACUUCCUCCAUAGGAUCAGGCAAAAGAUAUGACUCGGCCUUAUUGUUUAAGGAGUGUGAAAUUAUUAUUGGGAAUUUAAAAGUUUUUCCAAAAGAAAUGUGUAGCUUUCCAGUAUGACCUUCAUAAAGGAGUCUUCUCAAAGGUUGUCCUAUCAACAGGUCGAAGUCCCAUGUAUUAAAGAUAUAGAAGUUCAAAUGAACCAUGGAGCCUUCUACCGUAAGAGGUAGGAUAUUAAUAAUUCCAAGACUGGGGACUAAUCGUCCCGAAGAUUCCUUUAUGACCUUUGUUGUGGGGGUUAAGAUAAGAUUUUUAAAUAGUUUAAGUGCAAAGGAUUCAGACAUAAUGUUGAUCCCCACAACAGGAUUAUAAAGAGCAUUAAAUCGAUCAGAAUUAUAAGCACAGCGUAUAGUUAUAGAGGGUGUGUCCAAUCAGAUCACAAUAGAGGAAAGCUCUGAUUCCUCCAACCAUUCGCUACUCAUGACUGAGAUAAGCUCUCUCAAUUGAUAUUCACUUGGUAAAUAAAUGCUAAACUGGCCGUUUUGGGGUUUGUCAAUAGAAUGGUAGUUUGAAAUAUUUCCAAAAUCGGCAAAAAGAUCGGAUUCUAUAUCCAGCAUGAAGUCCGGUGGUGGAAUUUCUUCCUCUUGUGGCUCAGAACUUGGGAUAGCUAAAGUAGAUGAACAAUUUGGCCGAGUGUCUACUUCGGCUUCGUAGGUUUCAUCAUGAAGGGUAUUAUCCAUCUCAGCUUCUAGGAUUCUAUCUAGGAUCACUCUAGCUUCAUCAGCAGGGAUGCGAAAGAAAGAACCUCUAGACAUUGCGUGCAGCAUUUGUUUGUGAUUUUUAUGAAGACCUCAAAAAAAGUGAAAUAAAAGAACAGGGUCUUCUAGAUUAAGGUUUGGACCAGAUUCUAAAAGAUCAGAAAAACGUUUCCAGGAUUUUCCCAAAGUUUCAUUAUCUUUUUGUUUAAAAGAUAGGACUUCGAGUCUAAGGUCGGCUAUACGGUCAAGGGAAUAGAAAUCUAGACAAAAGUUGGCUCGUAAAACUCCCCAUUCACCUUGUUGUUGACUUACCUUCUGACUGUACCAUUGUCUAGCUUCUCCCCUUAAGGAAAAAGGAAAAAGCUUCCAACGUAAAGUCUUAUCAGAAAUGCCUUCAAUGCGAAGACAAUCACAUGUUUGCUCAAAAUCUCUAAUAUGAAGGUAAGGGUUUUCGUCUUCCUUUCCCGAAAAAGAUAGGUUUUGAAUCAUGGCAAUCAACCUAGAACUUAACUUAUACUGGGAUGUUUGGAUAGGCUGUGAUGAUUCCCAUGGUAAAAGGUCAGUUGCUAAAGGGAUUGCAGACUCAUGGAUCGAUUUAGAAUCUUGGUUUUCCAUAAGGUAAGAGUAAAGAAAAUAAAUAAUAUAAAAGAUAAGAAAAGAUAAAAGUAUAGAUACAAGCUAAUAGCAAGACACAGGUUAUCUCAGCAACCAUCUUUCUCCCCGGCAACGGCGCCAGAAAUGCUUGUUGAUAUUUGGGAACGCAAUAAGGAAUUGAUCCGCAAGUGCACGGAUAUCGGUGAGCACUUCACCCGGGAAAUUAUCCAGAGUAUCGUAUUUAUUUUUUUACCACUAGGAGAAAGAGUGCAUCUGACUAACCGGUCUAUUACUACUAACCUUUAGGCACAAAGAAUGUCUUUCGAUGUGAGUGAUAAAUAGAGAAGACUUCAACCGUAGUCUCCUUCUAACCUUGGUAAGGAUGAUCUACUUUUCUAAUGGGGAGGCUAACGGAAUCUAGACACCACAAAGGAUGUCCAACCUGCACCUAUAAACCCUAUCCUUCCUGCUAACGAGAUGUGAUCUACAAAGGUAGCUCAGAAUUGUCACGUUCCUCACUACUACCACGGUCCAGCUAGUCAGGGAAUAUCUAUGAGUACCCCAGCCUAAACACCACGUUUACACCAGCAAUGAUUACUCUAAACUCUACGUGAAGAGAUUAAAGUAAACUCAUAAACCAUAAGAACAAUAAAACAAGAACUUACUAGAAUUUAGAAGUCGAAUUACUGAAGAAUCCUAGGAGCAAGCUUCGGGUUAGGAGAACUUGAUCCCGCAGGUACAAGCUUGGAGUAGACACCGAAAGGCCAGGCUUCCUCCACUCUUCACCUCCACUCUAUCUCUCUCAAUCUAGUAGAAACUAGAAGAUCUAUUUCUACCUUACAUUGGUUGCUAAGCCUAAAAAGAAAUAUUAAUUAGAGAAGAGGUUUUCCUUCGAGGGCACCCCUCAAUCUCUAUGAUAAUUUCUUCAUGUUCCAGGGGCCAGGGGCCUUGCUUAUAUAGUCCUCCCCUUCUAUGCGUUUUUGGGUCGAUAGGCGAGGUGGUACUAUGUUUUUCUUGAUCCAAUAGGUCGGUGGAAUAUCCCGAACGAAAGAGUCCUGAUUUGGCUCCAGCAGGGGGGCGGGCGCCCAGGCUACGAGGGCGGGCGCCCUGGGCCUGGCCCAGUUUUGCCUCCGCUUCGGUCUCGUGGCUUCUAGAGUCUUCUAGAUGAUGUAAAAUUACGCGGUGCGUUGAUAUCUCUAUGUAAUCCCGACAUGUGGGCCUUUCUUCCUUAUUUCCUGAUAACCCCCUGCAGAAACAGAUAAACAACAAAGCUCGUGGAAUUCUGUCAGAUCAAACCCUAAUUCUAGGUGAUGGUUGCAUAUUGGUCCUUUCUCUUGUUUAUUUGAUAAUUUAAAAUUAAUACUUAAGAACCGUCAACAAAUAUGCACUAGAAUCCCUCUCUUUUCAGCUCUUUGUGAAAUAAACCCUGGAAAAUACAGAAUAUGCAAAACUCGUGGAAAUUGUCAGAUUAAACCCUAGACUAAUGUACUUUGAUGUGUUCCAUUGUGUCUAAAGUUCUAAUAAAUAUUGACACUAUCGAACGUCAACAAUUCCCCAAAGCUUACCUUUUGCCAGUCCCUUGGCAAUCAACCCAAAACUUGGAUGAGGAGUUGCUACAAUACUUUCAUUUCUUUUAAGACACCUGAUUUUAAACAUACAUUGUCCUCUGGUCUACUUUCAAACUUACCCAUUUUACCUUUAACCAUAGAGCUUUAAAGCUUUUGCAUAAGUCUUGGGUAAUCAAAAGAUAGAACAAUCAAGUCAAGCACUAUGUCUCAAAUUUUUCACAGUACCAAUAAUCCAGAGUUUUGCAAGUUUUCAAAGUAAAACUUAGAGCUUAAUUGUAUGACACACUCAAGUCUCUUAUUAUGUAGUAUUUUUGGAUCUCACUGAGGCAUUAAUGAGGUUAUGCCUUCCUACAACUAAGUAUAUAUAUAGUGGAGCUUAUAGAAGUGGCAAUAACAAUGAUGAGCAUACUUACAUUUCAUAUAUUGUAAAGUCAAACAAUGGAUCCACAGAGAAUUAAGGCAUACAAUCAAAUCAAGAUGUGCGUGUGUAUGGAAUAUGGUGGAUAGGUGCAUAUAUAGUAUUUAGUGGCUAAUCCUAUUUCUACUUUUGCUCUUUGAAAAUUAGUUUCUGUUUAAAACUUACAACUUUUCACGAGAAACCAUGGGCUAUCUUUAUUAUUAUUUUUUAUUACUGUGAGAGGCGGGCAUCGAUGUACUCAUUGUUUUAAUUGUUCGGGCACUUGUCCAUCUUUUACCCCAUUUUUUUCUCUUUCCUUUUUUAAAUACUUUUGCGUAGCCACAUGCAUCCUUUGAAUUAAAUAAUCUGAGAGAUAAUGAUAAGAACUUAGAGCAAUUAAAUGGGGGCUGUCCUAGAGGGUAUAUUUUUGGGUGUUUACUCCUAGUGUAGGAGAAACAACAUUUUUAAUGUGGAUCUCGAUGAAAAUGGAAAAUAAUUUUGCUUACUCCUAGAGUAGGAGCAAUGCAUAUAUAGGUGGAGUGCAUGAGUGAUCUUGAUUUUAAAAGCAUGACAAUACUCUCAUAAGGUAUACAACAAAGGUUGAUUAAACUCAAUGUAAGGCAAGCAGCAUGAAUGUGCAAAUGUUUUCCUAACUUAAUGUAAGGCAAGCAACAUGAAUGUAGGAUUUUGGGUUUUUGAAAAUAAAUCUCCAGAACUUAGUAAUGCUAGGAGUAAGAUAAAUAGUAGCUUAGACCUUCAUGUAUUAAUCAGUUACCUAGACUUACCUCAAACAUAUGCCUCCACAAAUUUUAGGUUCAAAUUAAAUUCUUAUAUCAACGUAGUAAUGUCUAAAACUCAGAAGAAUUCAUUGUUGAAAACUAGGCACUUGAAAGGAAUUACGGUAGACCAACUAUUCAUCAUCUUCAAGACAAAAUUUCAAAAUUCUCUAAUUUUUAUUUGACUCUAAACUAGACUAACUGUAGACACACUCUAUGGUCACACCUUAAUAUAUAGGUACGUAUUUUGUUUGGUUUUUUAUUUAUUUCUAUUGGACUCAGAAGACUCUAAAGACAUGGACCUUCAUGUGCCCAUAUAUUUUUGCUAUAUUUAUAUUUUCUUAUGAUGCUAUUGUGAACCUUUAUGUGCUCACUCAUAUUUGGUAUUUUAUGACUAUAUAAAAUAGACUUAAUAAUCUCCUAGGUAUAGUUACCUAAUAACUAGGGGAUGUUGUGUCACACCCAAAUUUCAUGAACGAAAUAGAGUGCAUAAAAGUCUCAUGUGCUCCUCGAAAACAGUCGCACACAUAAGUUGUCAAAUCUCAUAUAGUACCAUCACAAUAUUUGUUACAUAUUGGAAUAAUAAUUAUUACAUAGUCUUAAACAAGUAGAGAUAAUCUCGACGGAAGCACCACAUAGGGACACUGUCAACUGGUUGACUCCAAGCCUAGUACUCAUAACGGUAGUCCUCAUUCCAGUCAUCUUCAUCAGAAUAUCCUAAGGUGUUAUCAAAUAGCAAGAGUGAGCACAUGUCGUACUCAACAAGUAUAACCAGCGGUUCAUGAGGCUCAAUUAGCUGACACUGGUUUGACUGCAUGUAGCUUUUACAUGUAGAUAGCAUGUUUAUAUUUAGAUAGCAAAUGUCAAGGUAGCAUAAUUAAAUUCCAUAACAACAUGAUCAAUGUAUACAAGAAUAAAGAAUGACACAUAUAAACAACAUAAUAAACCAUCAUUUAUCAUCAUCAAUCAUGUUCAUCAGUGUCCAUCUAUUCCAUCAGUUUUCCGGGCUGCCCGUAUCCGUUGGUACCGCUAGUAUACUAGAUUUAACACUCUGCAGAGGUUGUACAUCUUUACCCAUGAGUCAUGAUUUACCCUUUCGCUCGAGGUCGCGCGUCUCUUAACCCCCUUCCUAGGGAGGUCGACAGGGAUCACUAUGAAGUCUUUCAAAAGUUCAUCUAACAAGUUAGGGCCGCAAGGUUUCCCCGGCGCGCAUAUAUAGAGGGCCCCUUCCGAAUGGCACAAUGACGCGCAACCUAUACACAUAAGGACGGAGGCCACACUAUACCCAAAACAGCAAGCCCCUCUAGCGCCCUUUCUACAUAACAUCUUCAUACUGAGCUAAAGCCAGAGCCAUGUGUUAAGACUAUGUAAUAAUUAUUAUUAAAGCUAGAGUCAAGAUCAAUCUAGCAAAAGCUAGAGUUCUUUCCACCCUUUAUGUUCAUGUUGCUAGAAAGCUUAUUAUAUUGUUUAUUGUAUAUCCAAAUAUUCAUGUUACAAGAUCACGGAUUAAUAAUCAAGCACUAGCAAGAACUACCCAAAUGCAUAUCCAACUAGACAGACAUACACAAAGCAAACACGCUAUAAUUAGAACAUUACACCAAUAGUGGUAAAACAAAUAUAAAGUUUAUAAAAAUAUUCUACGCAGCGCUACGAUCACACAAACAUAAAGAUUACAAAAAAUCAGAAUUAAAACGGAGAAGUUAUGAUUUUUUCUAAGAUUUCCUAUAGAAGAAUAAUUAAUUAAAUACUACUAAGAAAUAAAAAAGUUAGAAACUAAAAACAUAGUAAUGUUAACAUGUGGAUCUCGUGAAAAUGAACCUCACGCAAUUUGAAUGGGUCAAAUCGGAGUUAAAGUGAGUUUUAUGAGCAAAACAAUUUUAGUGGCAUUUCUGUAAAUACUCGAAAGCAUAAUUUGAUUAAACCGACAAAAAUACGUUUUUAAAACGGCAACACGCCUUUUCCAAAGACGCUAAGAACCAUGUGUUCUAUUCUUAAGAAGUUCGAGGACUCUUUAACAAAAUACCCCCCGAAUGGGUAUCUUCUGUUCUAGGCCAUCGAUCUCCAAUUGGACGGCUUAGGAUUCAUCUAGGGGCUGAGCACCGGCCGGCCGGCCACCGGAGCCCAGGUUCGGCGCUGCGCCACCAUGGAUGCUCCCCCCGAAGCUCACUGGAGUUAGUGGAAAACACGCUAUGGUAAGCCAAAAUCCAAACCAAAGGCAUGGGGAGCAAGAGGAGGUCCUCACAAACCCACCUAGGGCACUCAAUCGAGCCAGAUGUCACCGGGGAAGGAUCGCGGUGCGAGAUGGCGGACGAUUGCGAACCUACGAGGCUCGGUGACAAUUAGAGGAAGAUAGGGGCAUGUAGAGGGUAAAGAGUAUGGACCGGCACCUUUGUGGUGGCGAUGCGAAGCUCAGCACAUAGUCGUUGGCGAGCUUGGUGUAGUAGGGGGCAAGGGUCACGUUGCCUGGUGACUCUAGCACCUCGGUGAGAUUCAACAUGGAGUUGGGAUGACUUGGUGCUGAAUAGAUGGGAUAGGAAGUGCCUGGGGUUUGUUGUGGAGCUUGAAUCGGUUGGGGAGAUCCUCCCAGGGAAGAAAUCCCACAAAAAUCGGGAUUGCUGUGACUCGAGGCGAAGGGACGAGAAAGGAGUCAGGCACUGCCAGGUGGGUCCCAGUUGUCGGUGAGAGAAGAGAGGGAGAAGGGCGGGUGUGUGCUCCUGGGCCAGCUGUUGGGCGAGGGAGCCGACCUGCGAGGGAGCCGAGGGAAGUGGGGGCUGGGCCGUGCGAGGGGGAGGAAGAGCCAUGUCUCGGCCUGAUUCUAGGGUGGCUUCUCUUUUUUUCCUAAUUUAUUUUCUAUUUUCUAAAAGCCUUUUUAAGAAGAGUUUUUAAAACAUUUUGGAGACAAAACAAACACACAUAAAAGAAUAAAUAAAUAUUCCAGCAUGUAUGCACAAGCAUGUUUCUAUCCCUUAUGUUGGAUUUUAAUUUCAAAAAAAAUUAUUUAUUCACUAAUUUUAAAUUCUCACAAAAUAUCCCAAUAAAUCAAAUUAGAUCCUAUUAAUUGAAAAUCAAAUUUGGGUGUUACAUGCUCCUCCCCAAGCUAGAUGUUUGUAAUAGUUGAUGUUGAUGAUCUUCAGAGUGAGGUAACUGGCAGCGCUCUUUGUGGGUGACACUAGUAGACUCUCUCCUUGUCAUAAUGUUGUUCCUGCAUAAUUACACUUCAAAAAGAAAACCAAAACUCGAGGCUCGAAUUUAAUAAUGGGUUAGCGGUCAGCUAGUAAGUGAUUGAUUGUUCUUUGAGUUGAUUUGAAUUGACAGAUUCUAGCAGGGUUCUCUUUUUAUUGUUUUAGCAUUUUCUAGUUUAAUUAAAUAUGUGUGCAUGAUAUAUAGUUGUAUUACUAUGCCUCCAUAGAGAAUAUUUAUUCUUAUGGGCCUUAGGAUUUUCAUUAAUAUUAUUCUUUAUGUCACCACAGUAAAUAUUCAUACAGGGUUACCAUAAGUUUAUUCCUCUGGAGCUUUUAAUAUUUUAUGAUGUAGUAAAUGAAACAAUAAAUAAAUUUUUUCUUUUAUAUUUAUGCAGAUGAAAAUAUUAAGGUAAAUUUAUUAAUGUAUAUAGGAAUACUAAGUAAUUAGAUAACUACCAUAUUACCUUAAGGCAAUGAUGUAAAAUUUUAAGUUUACCGACAGGUCUUCUUCUUCCACUCUUGUGUAUCUCUCAAUCUUGAAAGAUGGAGGUCUUGUUAGUUACAUACCUCUAGUGAUAAUGAUGUCACCUUUGUUCUUUGAUUUGGCCAGUAGGUUGAAGGAGAGUUUCAACAGUAGCUGCAGCAUCUUGCUCAGUGUGCAUGCUCACACAACUUUCACUCGUAGAAUUAAUAAACUUUGCUUGAUGUGUUGUCCUGUUUGCAAAACUAAGGUAGAGAUAAAGUGCAUGGGCUCUGCUGGUGGAAAAACACCAACAUAACCAAAUCUAUUUCUUUAUUUAUUUUUCUCCAUCCUUAGGCACAUUAAACAAGAUAAAGUUGUGUUACAUGAUUUAUUUAUUUAUGAGUGGUAAGAUCAAAAGAUUAAGUAUUUUUAAGUUCACAUGACAAAAGAAAUUUCUUAACUAAUGGGAGGAUUGUCUAUCUCUAUAAAUUUUCAAAUAAGUAUGACUAUCAUCUUCCCAAGAUUGAAUAUAAUGUUUUAACCUAUUUAGCUAAGACUGCGAUUAAGAGAAUGGUGCCAUAAACAAUUUUAAAAGAUGAAUCAUGUUAAGUUAACAAGGUUGAUCAAUUUAAGUUGUAACUCUAACAUGUUUGUGUUUUAAUUUAUGCACACAGAAAGAUCAAGAGGAGAGAGUGAACACUUACCUUAGAGUAUUACCUUCAUUGUUAGAGCGUGAUGGUGUUGACGGUUCUUAAGUAUCAAUUUUAAUUAUCAAAUAAACAAGAGAAAGGACCAAUAUGCAAACCACACCAAGAAUUAGGGUUUGAUGUGACAGAAUUCCACGAGUUUUGUUGUUUAUCUGUUUUUGCAGGGGGUUAUCAGGAAAUAAGGAAGAAAGGCGCACAUGUCGGGAUUACAUAGAGAUAUCAACGCACCGUGCAAUUUUCUACUAUCUAGAAGACUCCAGAAGCCACGGAAACAAAGCGGAGGCCGAAAGGGGCCUGGCCCAGGGCGCCCGCCCUAAGGACCAGGGCGCUCGCCCCCCUCUGUACUCCAAUCGGGACUCUUUUCGCGGACCAAGCUCCAUCGACCUAAAGGAUCAAGGAUAACCGUCCAAUCAAUGUUGGUUUGAUCCAACGGCUCACCUUCACUUGAGGGGACUAUAAAACCAGACCUCCUGGCCCCUAGAGGAGACAAGUUCAUCAUAGAGUUGAGAGGAGCCCUCGAAGGAAUACCUCUCCUCUAAAUAAAAUUUCUUUUAGGCUUAGCAUGCAAUGUGAGUAGAAUUAUAUCUUCUAGUUCCUACUAGAUUGAGAGAGGUAGAGUGGAGGUGUAGAUCGGAGGAAGCCCGGCCUAUCGGUGUCUACUCCGAGGUUGUACCUGCGGGAUGAACUUCUCCUAACCCGAAGCUUGCUCCAAGGAUUCUUCAGUAUUUCGACUUCUAAAUUCUAGUAAGUUCUUGUUUUAUUGUUCUUUGGUUUAUGAGUUUACUUUAAUCUCUUCGCGUAGAGUUUAGAGUAAUCAUCUCUAGCAUAGACGUGGUGUUUAGGCUAGGAUACUCAUAGAUAUUCCCUGACUAGCUAGAUCGUGGUAGUAGCGAGGAACGUGACAUUUCCGAGUUACCUUUGCAGACCAUAUCUCGUUAGCAGGAAGGAUAUGGUUUAUAGGUGCAGGUUGAACAUCCUCUGUGAUGUCUAGAUUCCGUAAGCUUCCCCAAUAGAACAAUAGAUCAUCCUUACCAAGGUUAGAAAGAGAUUACGGUUGUAGUCUUCUCUAUUUAUCACUCACAUCGAGAAACAUUCUUUGUAGCCUAAAGUUUAGUAGUAAUAGACCAGGUUAGUCAAAUGCACUCUUUCUCCUAGUGGUAAAUAAUAAAUACGAUACUCUGGAUAACCUCCCGGGUGAAGUGCUCACCGAUAUCUGUGCGCUUGCGGAUCAAUUCCUUAUUGCGUUCCCAAAUAUCAACAAGCAUUUUUGGCGCCGUUGCCGGGGAGAAAGACGGUUUGCUGAGAUAACCUUGAGUCUUACUACUAGCUUGUAUCUAUACUUUUACCUUUUCUUAUCAUUUAUAUUCUUUAUUUAUUUUAUUUACUCUUACCUUAUGGAAAACCAAGAUUCUAAAUCAAUCCAUAAAUCUGCAAUCCCUUCAGUAACUGACCUUGUACCAUGGGAGUCAUCACAGCCUAUCCAAACAUUCCAGUAUAGGUUAAGUUCUAGGUUGAUUGCUAUGAUUCAAAACCUAUCUUUUUCGGGAAAGGAAGACAAAAACCCUUACCUUCAUAUUAGAGAUUUUGAGCAAACAUGUGACUGUCUUCACAUUGAAGGCAUUUCUGAUAAAACUUUACGUUGGAAGCUUUUUUCUUUUUCCUUAAGGGGAGAAGCUAGACAAUGGUACAGUCAGAAGGUAAGUCAACAACGAGGUGAAUGGGGAGUUUUACGAGCCAACUUUUCUCUAGAUUUUUAUUCCCUCGACUGUAUCGGUGACCUUAGACUCGAAGUCCUAUCUUUUAUACAAAAAGAUAAUGAAACUUCGGGAAAAUCCUGGAGAUGUUUUUCUGAUCUUUUAGAAUCUGGUCCAAACCUUAAUCUUGAAGACCCUGUUCUUUUAUUUCACUUUUUUUGAGGUCUUCAGAAAGAUCAUAAACAAAUGCUACAUAGAAUGUCUAGAGGUUCUUUCUUUCGCAUCCCUACUGAUGAAGCUAGAGUGAUCCUAGAUAGAUUCCUAGAAGCCGAGAUAGAUAAUACCCUUCAGAUGAAACCCACGAAGCCGAAGUAGACACUCUGCCAAAUUCUUCAUCUACUUUAGCUAUCCCAAGUUCUGAGCAACAAAAGGAAGAAAUUCCUCCACCGGACUUCAUGCUGGAUAUAGAAUCUGAUCUUUUGCCGAUUUUGGAAACAUUUCAAACUACCAUUCUACUAACAGACCCCAAAACGGCCAUUUUAGCAUUUGUUUACCAAGUGAACAUCAAUUGAGAGAGCUUAUCUCAGUCAUGAGUAGCAAGUGGUUGGAGGAAUCUGAGCUUUCCUCUGAUGUGAUCCGUUUGGACACACCCUCUAUAACUAUACGCUGUGCUUAUAAUUCUGAUCGAUUUGUUGCUCUCUAUAAUCCUGUUGUGGGGAUCAACCAUAUGUCUGAAUCUUUUGCACUUAAACUAUUUAAAAUUUUGGUUUUAAGCCCCACAACAAAAGUCAUAAAGGAAUCUUCGGGACGAUUAGUCCCCAGUCUUGGAAUUAUUAAUGUCCUACCUCUUACGGUAGAAGGCUCCAUGGUUCAUUUGAACUUCUAUAUCUUUGAUACAUGGGACUUCGACCUGUUGAUAGGACAACCUUUUAGAAGACUCCUUUAAGAAGGUCAUACUGGAAAGCUACACAUUUCUUUUGGAAAAACUUCUAAAUUUCCAAUAACAAUUUCACACUCCUUAAAUUAUAAGGCCGAGUCAUAUCUUUUACCUGAUCCUAUGGAGGAGGUAAAGGCUGCAUCUCUAGAGCUUUUAGAUGAACCAGACUUAGAAGAAGAAGCUCCUUUCUUCAUAGAAGAAGAAGCUGAAUCUUCUGAACCUGAACCCUUAGACGAGUUUGUAGAAACGCCUAGACCUCCCAUAGAGCUUAAAAUUUGAUCACCCGGUCUUAUCUAUGCUUUCCUAAACAAUAAUCCAGAGUUUCCUGUGAUCAUUAGUGAUAAACUCACUCAAGAGCAAACUCUGCGAUUGAUGACCAUUCUUGAGAAACAUCACUCAGUUUUUGGCUACUCACUCCAAGAUCUUACAGGGAUCAGUCCUAUGAUUUAUACCCAUCGUAUUCCAACAGAUCCUUCUGUUUCACCUUCUCGAGAGCCUCAACGUAGACUUAACAAUACGAUGAGAGAGGUAGUUAAAAAGGAAGUUAUAAAGUUGCUGCAUGCAGGGAUUAUACAUCCUGUGCCGCACAGUGAGUGGGUAAGCCCAGUACAAGUUGUGCCUAAAAAGGGAGGCAUGACUGUCAUUAUGAAUGAAAAGAACGAGCUAAUUCUGCAAUGCACCGUCACAGGAUGGCGGAUGUGCAUAGACUAUAGAAAACUGAACAAAGCCAUGAGAAAGGAUCAUUUUCCUUUUCCUUUCAUAGAUGAGAUGCUGGAGCGAUUAGCGAACCAUUCGUUCUUCUGUUUCUUAGAUGGAUAUUCAGGGUAUCACCAGAUCCCGAUCCAUCCCGAUGAUCAAAGCAAAACCACUUUUACAUACCCAUAUGGAACUUAUCCUUACCGUAGAAUGUUUUUUGGGUUAUGUAAUGCACCAGCCUCUUUUCAAAGAUGCAUGAUGUCUAUAUUUUCUGAUAUGAUUGAAGAGAUUAUGGAAGUUUUCAUGGAUGAUUUCUCUGUUUAUGUAAAAACUUUUGAUAGUUGUCUUGCUAACUUAGACAAGGCUUUGCAAAGAUGUGAAGAAAAGCACUUAGUCCUUAAUUGGGAAAAAUGUCAUUUUAUGGUUAGGGAAGGAAUAGUGCUGGGACACCUAGUGUCUGAAAGAGGUAUUGAGGUGGACAAAGCUAAAAUUGAAGUAAUUGAACAACUACCUCCACCUGUGAAUAUAAAAGGAAUUCGAAGCUUUCUUGGCCAUGCUGGUUUUUAUCGUAGAUUUAUAAAAGAUUUUUCAUACAUUGCUAGACCACUUACUCUUUUGCUAGCCAAGGAUGCUCCUUUCGAAUUUGAUGAUGCAUGUCUAACAUCUUUCAAUUUAUUAAAGAAAGCACUCAUCUCUGCACCAAUCAUUCAACCCCCUGAUUGGUCGUUGCCUUUUGAAAUUAUAAGUGAUGCUAGUGAUUAUGCUGUGGGGGCAGUUUUGGGACAAACUAAAAAUAAAAAGCAUCAUGCAAUUGCUUAUGCCAGUAAAAUUUUGACAGGAGUUCAACUUAAUUAUGCAACCACUGAAAAAGAGCUUCUGGCUAUUGUCUUUGCCAUUGAUCAAUUUUGAUCUUAUUUAGUAGGAGCUAAAAUAAUUGUUUACACUGACCAUGCUGCACUAAAAUAUUUGCUCCCUAAAAAAGAUGCUAAACCUCGCCUGAUUUGAUGGAUCUUAUUACUUCAAGAAUUUGACUUAGAAAUAAAAGAUAAAAGGGAGUAGAAAAUUCUGUUGCUGAUCACUUGUCUAGAAUGUAUUUUAAGAGUCCACAGGAAACCCCCAUCAAUGAUUCACUCUGGGACGACAUGCUCUACGGGAUUAACAGGUCUGACCCCUGGUAUGCAGAUAUUGUUAAUUUUAUGGUUUUAGGGUAUGUACCACCAGGAGCAAACAAGAAGAAGCUUAUUCAAGAAAGUCGUUCACAUAUAUGGGAUAAGCCAUACCUCUUCCGAGUAUGCUCUGAUGGCUUACUCAGGAGAUGUGUGACCACUGAAGAAGGAUGGAAGAUCAUCGACAGAUGUCAUUCAUCACCAUAUGGAGGUCAUUAUGGAGCAUUUCGUACACAUUCAAAGAUCUGGCAGUGUGGAUUCUACUGGCCUACAAUGUAUGAAGACACAAAGCAAUAUAUCAGAAGAUGUGGGCCAUGUCAAAGGCACAGAAACAUAAACACAAGAGAUGCCAUGCCACUCACCAACAACCUUCAGAUUGAGCUCUUUGAUGUUUGGGGAAUAGACUACAUGGGUCCAUUUCCUCCAUCAAAAAAGUGUGAGUACAUCUUGGCGGCAGUUGACUAUGUCUCCAAGUGGGUAGAGGCACUACCUUGCAAGCAUGCCGACACCAUCAGUUCAAAGAGGAUGUCUGAAGAAAUUAUAUUUCCAAGAUUUGGAGUCCCCAGAGUAGUGAUAAGUGAUGGAGGAGCACAAAUCAUCGACAAACGCUUCAAACAAUAUCUAUCAAAACAUGGAAUCUGUCACAACGUCGCUACCCCCUAUCAUCCUCAGACAAGUGGCCAAGCAGAGACUUCCAAUAAGCAAAUCAAGAAUAUUCUUCAGAAGACAGUGAAUGAAAUGGGAACGACAUGGAAAGACAAGUUACCUGAUGCAAUCUGGGCAUGCCGGACAGCAUACAAGACCCCAAUUGGAAUGUAUCCAUACCAAUUGGUGUACGGGAAGACUUGCCAUCUACCUGUUGAACUAGAGUUCAAAGCACACUGGGCCAUAAGGAGAUGGAAUAUGGACCUAGAUGUCGCUGGAGAUCAUAGAAGAAUGCAACUAUCAGAAUUGGAAAAAUGGCGAGAGAAAGCAUAUCACAAUUCAAAGAUCUACUAAGAAAGAGUCAAAAGGUGGCAUGACAAGAGGAUCAAGAAGAAGGAGUUCGCACCCGGAGAUAAGUAUUACUUUUUAAUUCUAGGGUGAAGCUUUUCGGGCAUGGAAAACUCCAGAGUAAAUGGGAAGGACCAUUCAAGGUAAUCAAUUCAUCAUCCCACGGAGCUAUCACACUUCAAAAUGGCGAAGGUACGUUAUUCAAGGUAAAUGGUCAACGUCUUAAAUUAUUUUUAGAGCCCAAUAAAGACUUAGAAGAAAUAGACGUAAUCUAUUUUUUCCUUCCCAUGGAGAAUUAAAGCCCAACACUUUUAAUCUGACAUUUUUGGGUCAUACAUAUAUUUUCCUAAAAAGGUUUGCAUCUAGAAACACGCUCGAGGAAGCGGGCCCACAGAGGGGCCAGACACAGGGCGGGCGCCCAACUCCUGACCCCUCUCGGUCCCGAUUUCCUCCGUUAUGGAAAAUACACUUAUGGUAAUCCGAAUAAUCCCUCAGAUGGAACGUUUCACACGCACAUCGAUGGGAGUAACCCGAACAACCCCUAGAGGCACUUUUUGACCCCUAUAUAAACAGACCCCUAACGUCAGUUUUCAAACACCAAUCCACCCAAGCCUUCUUCUUCAAUUAGAGCUUGAUUAGUCCCUCGCUGCUCCAAUGGCCGAAAAGUUCCACGAUGAUUGGGAAGUCGUCCCCUUCAACCUCAACAUGAAGCCAGAGGAAGACCCCGACGCCAACGCCAUAGAGCGACAGCUAGAAGCCAUGGCAUUACGCCAACGCAGCUCCGCCCAAUCCUAUCAUGCUCAACCAGUUCUCACCGCACCUGUAACACCCAAGGUGUUAAGCAUGCACUUAGUCUUAUCAAAACAUUCAUAAGCAUUCUCAUCAAGCAUAGCAUCACAUGAGCAUGCCAUCCAUCCAAAAUGUGAUUUUAUGUGCUUUAUUCUAUGUGAUUUAAAUAUGCUAAAAAUAAGAUGCUUGCUUCAAAAAUUGUGAAAUAUUCAAGAUAGGUUGAUUUAUGUGCAAAAAGAUUUAAGAGUAUUUUUUGUGCAAUUUUUGGAGCCAUAUAAUUUGAGAAAUGGAAUUUAUACAAAAAUCCCCAAAAUGAAUUUAUUUGAAAACCUAGAACUAGUUUUAAUUUGUAAUUCAAAUUCUAUUUGGAAUUUGAUCUUGCUUAUUAAAACAAAGUUGUAGGAUUUUUGUUUUGGAACAACUUUGCUUCUGGGAGAAAGAGGUGAAAAUGAUUUUAAAAUGGUCCAAAUGAAUUUAGAAGAAGUUUGAGAAAAGAAAUUCAAAAAAAAAUAGAAAAGGGAAAAGGGGGGCGCUAGGAGGCCGCGGCCUCACUUCUGGCCCACUGGCCGAAGCCGGCCCAGCCCGCCCGCGCUCAACCCCUUCCCCGCGCCAGCGCCGCGUCCGCGCGCGGACGGCCGCGCCGUUCCGCCGUGGCGCGCCGACAGAGCCUGGCCGCCGCGUGGCGAGCAUGCGGCAGCUUGGACACGCCCUGGUCGGCCACCAGGAGCCCCCGACCACGUCCGCCGCUGCCCCCGCUGCCAUUUGCGCUCCUCCACUCGCGCUCUCGCCCUCCGCUCGCUCGCGCGCAGCAGCCGCCGCUCCGCCGCACGCCAUCGUCGCCGACGGCUUGGAGCUCCUCUCCCGGCCAGCAACGGCCUUCUUCUUCCUCUCUGCGACCACCAUCAGCUUCGUCUCGUCCUUCCGCGUCGCGUGCUCACGCUCAACCACGCUCGGUGAGCCCCGCGUGCCUGAUAGAGCUCACCGGAGUGAGUCGGAGCUCCGGCGACCUCGCGCGGUUCUCCCUCUCCUCUCCGCCUUUGCUUGCAUUCGUAGGUGCGUUAGCUUCGCCUUGGCUUUGUGCACCUUUCCCCGUCGUUAGCCCACGCUCUACCGCCGCGAAACAGCCGGACCACGGCGAGCAGCGCCGCCGCGUCCGCCAUUCUCGACGGCGAGGUAGUUUCGGUGCUCGUCAGGUGCCAAAAAGGGCACGGUUGGACUCGUCCUGUGUUCGCGAAGCCGUAGGUGUUCCCGGUGAGAUUCCGGCCGAUCUUUGGCCGCGGAGUCGUGGGGUGGCUGACUAGUGGGGUCACCUGACUCACGGGUCCCGCCUGUCAGUGAUUCCAAGGGUUUGAAUCCGGGUGCACUUAGCGUUUUAAGUCGUUUUUCCGUUUUAAAAGUUUUUCCAGAAAAUGGUUUAAAUAUUCUAAAUUCCAUAUCUUUAGAUCCAUAGCUCCAAAAUUCGUGAAAUAAAUUUUGGUGUGUUCUUUGUUUCCAGAUCUAUAACAUGGUAUGGCUGCAUGUCAUGUUUAAGUAACUUUUCUGUGCAAUUAUAUUUAAUCCAUGUUUUUGCUAGAUUUGGAAAAUGCAUAGUAAUUAAAAUAUGACUCAGAAAAAUGUGAAACUUGUUUUGUUGGCUCUGCAUGUAUGUUUAGUCACUAGAAAAUAUUGCUACACAUUAUUUGGUGUAUAGAUGAAUUUGUAGUGAUUUAAAUGCUUGCAUGGCAGUGGUUUAUGAUUUUUAAUAAAAAUUUAGUCAUGCAAUUAAUCUGGUAAUUUUUGUGGGUGUUUCUUAUGAUAUUAGGCAAAUUAUAAAAAUAUGAAAUCUGCUGUUUGACACUUAUACCACAGUAGAGUAAUUGUACUUGCCUUUAUUAAUUAAUCUUGUGAUUUUUGUAGCUCAAAAUAAGUAUCCACAAAAUAUGAAAAAUUUAUAGUGGACUUUAUGCUUGACUGAUAGUCUCCUGUAAUUUUUGUAGAAUUUAUUGAUGAACAGAACUGCAUGCAAAUUUUGAUGGGCCUAGAAAUGAAUAAAGAAAUUAUGAAUUGUUAUAUGUAGAAUAAGUAGAAUAAAAGAGGAUUUGGUGUAUAUUUGAAGUAUCUUGUGAGUUGCUGGUUACACUUGAAAAUAAGUUUGUGGGGAAAGAAGGAAAUAGAUGCUUAGUGUAAUUGCAUGUUCUUGGAUGACGUUGACUACCUUGUAAAGAGCAUGACCAAUUAAAUCACCUAUGCAUCAUGUCAUGAUCAUUUGGUACCUUCUCAUACAAGCAUCCACUCGGGCAUCUCGCACUCCACUCAUGAGCACACAUGCAUCAUACACGCUCGCAGGAGAACGAGGUGGGGCCCGAGGAGCAGGAGGAGACCCAGGAGCAGAAACCUCUAGGAGCACCGGAACCCGGAGAAGAGCUACAGGAGUGUCCAGAUCACCGGCCCAGCACGUUUGAGAAAGGCAAGCCCCGGAGCAUUCUAAGUCUCCCUAUUCUCGCUAACUUACAUGAUAUACUAUGCUUGUUCUACUAUGUUGCAUUUACGUGAUAGGAAUUGGUUGAUACCGUUGAUGCAUAGGUACUCCUUGAUAUCACCAUCUGUUUAUCUACCUUGUCCUAUGUAGAUAGGCACGGAGUCUAUGCUUAGCUUGCCUAGCUCGGUAGAAGUCGGGUGAUUUCCUGUCACUUGCGAGAUAUAGGUGGAUACCAGCUUGAUUAAGCGGUGAUUGCUUUGGGAAAAAAAUAACCAAGCGUGGAAUAGAAAUUUGAGACCGGGCAGGGUCUUAUGGUGGGGUUGACUAUAGUGCCCCUGCCUGUGUUGAUUAAGGACCGAUCGUUAACGGCCCUCUUGUCAUGUUGAACGCAUGCCCCACACUUAGCUGGAAGGAUAAGUCGUUCCGACCGCGAAGCCUAAACACUAUCCGGGCCGGGAGUCGAGCUGCCAUGCGCUGUAUUGGUGAUGGUUGAGGAGAACGACGAGGGCGCGGCGUGCAACCUUGGUAUACCUUGGAUACCUCGGUCGCCGGAACGGUCCUCGGGUACUGGUGGUGCCUGUCGAACCCGCAAUUUAGUCAUGGUUAGUGUAACACGGUGAUCUGUAGCUCACUUGAUCAGUGAGUGUGGUUUGUGUGGGGAAUACCUCGCCAGCUGGUCAGAAAUCGAUUCGAAUCGCCAUCGCUCCUGGAUAGUGAGCACUUGACAUGAGCUUCAUCCUCGUAGUAAGGACUAUGGAACAAUUGGGUUAUAAUGAUAAAUGGUUUCAUGAAUGACAUGAUGAGGUACCAUCAUAUUAGUAUACUUGCUUGUAAUAGUACAGAUGCAUACCUAGAUAAUAGGUAAUGACAAUACUAAACUUGAGCCAAAUCAAAGAAAAGUGGUUUCUAGACUAUGUUAGGGAAAUACGCGCGUUUAUGCAAAGGUCGUCAGCUAACCCCACUAUAUGGCCUUCAUGAUCCUUGAUGAGUCUUUAUUUGAGUUUAUGACAGGUAAGUCUAGCUGAGUACGUUCUCGUACUCAGGGUUCUAUUCCCAUGUUGUUUUGCAGAUGGUCAAAUGUACUAUGGUUAUUGCAUCCUCUGUCUGUACCCAGCCAUGGGUGAUGACUAGACCAAGGGCGAUGGUCACUCCGUCUUCUCUUUUGCUUUUGUGGGAAUGACCGAAUUAUGGCACUGUAUCAGACUAAGCAUGUGUGUGUUAUUUUCAAAUUAUGAAGCUUCCGCUACUUAUGAACUUGGUUUGUAAUAACUUUAAGCACUUCGAUGUAUUGUAUGAAUGUUUUCGAACUGGAUGUAACUGUGGAUGAUGACCGCUAAACUUAUUACGAUCUUGGCUGUAUGUAUGAUCUGUGGUUUGAAAUCCUUCAAGAUUUCAUGGACUACCGGGAUUAUAUGGGCUUAAGCUCGAUGGUUUGACUAUGCCAAUGGUCACUAUUAGGCUUAAUCUCUUAUAAUUUGGGCGGUUCUGUUACAGCUGGCAUCGGAGCAAGGUUUAGCGAGUUACUGUUCAUAAGUAUGUUCUAAACCAAAUCUAAACCGGUUUUAUAAAAGAUUUUAUUAAUUAAUGAUAAUCAAGGUGUCCAGAUAAGUUUUUGGGAAAAACUAUCUAGUGUGCCAUGGUCAUAUCCUUUAUGCCCAGUUAAGGACUCUAAGGUGGCUAGUUAAGAACUGACUUGGGGGUUAAUGCAUCAUAUUUCUAUUUCAUUGCUCAUACGGCGUGCAAUAGUAUGAGUACCAUUCAUUUGAGUGGUAAUGUAUGGAUCAAUUUGUCUGCUACGCCUCGGUAAGGGGGAGCUGUGAGAGCAUGAUCGGAUACACUGCCGGUCUAGGGGAGUGUUGUUAGGUGCUGUGUCAUGCACACAUGCUUGGUGUGUUUGGGAACAGUACCGCAUGUUGGGAUAUUCCGUCCGGUGAGGCGAUGCCGUUGUUAGGGCGAUGAUGUGGGUAGUAGCACGUCAUAUGCAUGGAUGGGGUGUCAGUGUAUAUGGGGUGUAUAGCUUUAAAUUCUUGUUCUGCAUCUUCAUACUGUGGUUGGGCUGAAAUGAAUUUUAUGCAGGUACACUAACCACGUUCUCGCUUAGAACGCUAGGUACGUUAUGAGAGAACGCUGUGUGCCACCGCAUAUACCGUUUAGUGUUAACUUUUGUUUCUAAGUUUGUGAGAUCGUAAGUCCGUGCAUGCAUCAUAUUCAUUUCAUAUCAUUGCUUACUUUCCCCCUUAAUUUAAUCUGUCCCAAUUCUAAAUAAAAUAUUUAAAGGUAAUCCUUAAUCUUACCCAAGGUAUUCCAUUUGCAGCAGAUGGCACGCACUAGGCUCAUCGCUCGCAAGUCCACUGGUGGGCGGGCCCCUCACCAUCCGUUGGCAGCCAGGAGCUCGCGUCAUAAGAGCAAGUUCCUGGAGGAGUUUGGGAUGCCCACUUUGCUUUGGAGGGUGCUCAGUUCGAUGGGGUAUCUCGAAGGAAGGGAGCCUCGCUACUAUUGGGACAAGGAGCAGCUUGGUGACGGGACCCUGGUGGGGAUCGAGGCAGUUGUCCCUACCAAUGGAGGUGACCCCGCCUGGGGCGGUUGGGUGUACGAGUCCCGAGGUACCACGCCUUUCCACGGUGCCAGCAGGGCAGCUUUCGCCGUUCUGAGGGACCUUAUGGAGAGGUUUCCACAGGAGCUGGCCCACGCCUUCGCUGGGGUGUUUCCCCGGGGUGACCCUACACUUCGGUGUGGGAUCAGUCCGAGGUGAACGCUCUAGAGAGGAGUGAGGAUGAGGACCAGCACAGUGACAGCGUAGCUAUGAGUGCUAUGUACGCCUUGAUGAAGACCUAUGGAGGCCUGGAGCGUUGUUUGGGUCGCUUGUCCGGGUCUCUUCUCACCGUCCAGGAUGAGAAGCGCCAGUUGUAGCGUGAGUUCGACUCUGAGGUUGAGAGGCUGUAGGCGGAGUUGGCCCGCGUGACCCGAGAGAGAGACCAGGCGGUCCAGAAGAACAGUGAGCUGAGCCAGGACCUGCUUGCAGUGCGAGAGCAAAAAGAUAGGGUGACUACUGCUCACAGGAACUGCGAGCGCAUGCUAGUCCAUGUGCUUGGUCAGAGGAAUGAAGCCUGGCAUGAGGAGGACACUUUGAGGGCCCGAUAGCUAGAGCUAGAGCAGCAACUAGCUAAUGCUGAGGAGUACAAUGAGAACUUCCAUGAGGAGAUCCACCAGCUGUAUAACCAGCUCCACUCUCACCACCUGCCUGGAGCAGCUGAGCUAGACUCUGAGGACGAGAUGGACGAGGAUCCCGAGAUAGGAGCAGCUGCUAGUGGAGAUGAGGACGAGGAGGGCUCCGGCAUGGAUAGUGACCAUAGCGAGUAGAUGCUAGGGCUCUAGAGCUAGUCCUUCUUCUUUUGUUGUUGUAUGUUGCAUGACAUGUCUUGUACUUUUGGAUCUGGGCCAUGUAAGACUUAUGAGAUGACGCUGAAAGUCCAGUGUAUGUAUGGUGGCAAAUUUGGAUGUAUGCGAACCUUGUUGCUUGAAUGUUAAGUAAUCUGUUAGUGAUGUUGUGUGUGGAUGAUGAAUUGUUGUGCCUCUGUUUAUUGUGCGAAUUUAAUUCCCUCAGUAAUUCAGUAUGGCAUAAUUCUACACAUGUCUACCGUUGAUGGCAACUCCUAACGAUUGCUUAUCAUUGACGCAUGCAGAUGGUGCUAACGCGUGGCGGAGGUAACAGCAACUCGGAUCUUGGAGCAGGUACCUCCGGAGAUGGGGCUCAACAGAACGAGGAAAGAGCACCAUCACCGCCACCACCACCGCCUCCUCCGUACACUGCGGACAUGUUUUUCGCGUAGUUUCUGGGGAGCCAACGCAACAUGGAACAAAUGCAGCGCAACAUGGAAGAAGCUCUGCGUAAUAUAGCUGACAACACCCAUCGUGGGGAUAACCAAGGUGGCCGUGAAGUCAACCAGUACAGCUCUUUCAAGGACUUCAUAGAUACCAAGCCACCAGUCUUCAAGGAGGCUUUGGAACCGCUCGAGGCAGAUGAGUGGAUCAACACCAUGGAGCAGAAGUUUCGUCUUCUUCGGAUGACGGAAGAACUAAAGGCUGAGUAUGCGGCACAUCAGUUGCAAGGACCUGCUAGGAUUUGGUGGUCCCAUCAUCGUACCACCUACCCAGAAGGGACCCCGAUCACCUGGAACCGCUUCACCACCGCGUUUCGGGGAAAUUAUAUUCCUCCGGGUGUGGUGGAAAUGAAGGUUGGGGAGUUCAUGAGGCUGUCCUAGGGGACGAAAUCUGUGAAAGAAUAUCUGCACGCUUUCAACAAUCUCGCCCGCUAUGCCCCCGAGUUUGUGAACACGGAGGCCAAAAAGAUUGCUAGUUUCCAGAGAGGCUUGAAUCCAAAGAUGCUGAAAACCAUGGGUACAGGGACCCGGGCUACCAUCAAUGCUUACAUCAGUGACUGUCUAACCCAGGAAAACAAUAACAACAACUAUAGUGCAUCCAAGUCUCGUAAGAGGGCUUUCGAAGCCGGGUCAUCCCAGUCCAGGGCACCAGUGGCAGGGCGACAGCAGUAUCGUCGUCCUGCCACAGGUGCUAGGUUCAGACCACCGCAGAAGAGGAACACCAGGCAUCCAGCGAAGCAGAAGCCUACAAGGUGGCGAUAGCUCCUGCCAAGCCAAAGGCAAUUCAAGCUGCGGCACCUGCUGCCAACAAUGCGACCAAGGGUCCGUGCUACAACUGCCACAAGAUGGGGCACUUUGCUAAGGAAUGUCCAUACCCCAAGAGGCAACAGCCAACCUAUCCAGCUUGUGUGCACCAUACUUCGAUCGAGGAAAUUUCGGAAGGAGAACCGGUAACAGCUGGUAUGUUUCCUGUCAACCAACAUCUUGCAGUUGUUUUGUUUGAUUCUGGAUCGUCGCAUUCAUUCAUGAGCCAAGCAUUUGCACAAAAGCAUAAUCAACCAGUUACAGAUCUGGGUUAUGGCUACCGCAUCAGCUCAGCAGGGGCAGAUGUGUUGACCAAUAGAGUGGUUCGAGGGGCAACCCUGGAUAUAAGUGGCCGAGUAUUUCGAGUGAAUUUAGUGGUCAUGCCUGGGUUAGUUUUGGAUGUUAUCAUGGACAUGAACUGGAUGAGAGAAUGGGAUGCUAUCAUAGAUACUGGGAAAGGAUGUUAUCUCUCAGAGAACCCCAGGGCAGUAGCUCUUUUCAAGUACCUCUGCCCCGUCGUAUUGACUUUGCUAGCAUCGCUUGUGCUACGCACGUGGUUCCAUUACCACAGAUCCCAGUAGUCUGUGAGUUCCUUGAUGUUUUUCCCGAGGAAUUACCAGGACUUCCCCCAGAUAGGGAGGUAGAGUUUGCAAUCGAGUUGAUAACAGGUACAACACAAAUAUCUAGAAGGCCGUACCGGAUGCCACCGAACGAACUCGCUGAGUUGAAAAAUUAGUUAAAGGAGUUACUGGAUAAAGGGUCUAUCCGGCCAAGUUCGUCAGAAUGGGGUUGUCCGGCGUUGUUUGUGAAAAAGAAGGAUCAGUCAUUGCGCAUGUGCGUGGACUAUCGUCCGCUCAAUGCAGUGACAAUCAAAAAUAAGUAUCCAUUGCCGAGGAUUGAUAUCUUGUUUGAUCAGUUGUCCAAGGCAAAAGUGUUUUCCAAGAUAGAUUUGAGGUCUGGGUAUCACCAAAUCAAGAUUCGUCCGCAAGAUAUCCCGAAGACUGCUUUUUCCACCAGAUAUGGGUUGUAUGAGUAUCUUGUCAUGUCCUUUGGGUUGACAAAUGCUCCUGCAUACUUCAUGUAUCUGAUGAAUUCAGUCUUUAAGCCAGAAUUGGAUAAGUUUGUUGUAGUGUUUAUCGAUGAUAUUCUGGUUUAUUUAGAAAAUGAGCAAGAUCACGCCGAGCAUCUGAGAAUUGUGCUAACACGACUACGAGAGCAUCCGUUAUAUGCCAAGUUCAGCAAGUGCGAUUUCUGGUUGAAGAAAGUUCCUUUCCUAGGGCAUAUUCUGUCUGAAGAGAGGAUUGCUGUGGAUCCAUCAAAAGUGCAGGAAGUCAUGGACUGGAAGACACCGACUUCUGUCUCAGAAGUUAGAAGUUUUCUUGGUCUGGCCAGGUAUUAUCAUCGUUUCGUACCCGACUUCUCCAAGAUUGCUAAGCCAAUGACUAGUUUGCUACAAAAGGAUCAUAAGUUUGUCUAGACGGAGGGGUGUGAGCUAGCCUUCCGCACCUUGUGAAAUUUGCUAACCACCGCUCCUGUUCUAGCGCAACCCAAUAUCGAGAAGCCUUUUGAUGUGUUUUGCGACGCAUCGAAAAGUGGCUUAGGAUGUGUGUUGAUGCAAGAUGGCAAAGUGAUAACUUACGCUUCAUGACAGUUGAGAAAGCACGAAGUCAACUACCCAACUCACGACCUCGAGUUAGCAGCAGUAGUGCACGCCUUGAAGAUUUGGACACACUAUUUGCUGGGAAAUAAGUGUCAUAUUUAUACCGAUCAUAAGAGUUUGAAGUAUAUCUUCACUCAGUCCGAGCUGAAUAUGAGGCAACGAUGGUGGUUAGAGUUAAUCAAGGACUAUGAUCUGGAGGUUCACUAUCAUCCAGGCAAAGCUAAUAUGGUAGCAGAUGCUUUGAGCCGCAAACCGCACUAUCAAGUGAUUCAACCUCUGUUUGAAGAUGGGUUCAAUCUCAUGCAUCCUGAAGUCUUAUGUCACAUACAGCUCAGUUGUUCACUCGAGAGUCAAGUCAUUGAGAGUCAGGAAACAGACAAGGGUAUUUUCCACAUCAAAGAAAAGAUUAAAGACGACCCAAGAACUCAAUUCAGAGUUGAUGAAAGAGGAGUAUUGUGGUUUCAGCACCGUCUAGUCGUUCCGGAGGACCGAGAAUUGAAGAAUCACAUCAUGGAUGAAGCCCAUCUCUCCAAGCUUUCUAUUCAUCCUGGCAGUAAUAAGAUGUAUCAAGACCUAAGACCCCACUUUUGGUGGACCAAAAUGAAGAAAGAAAUAGCCGCAUAUGUGGCCCGUUGUGACAAGUGUUGCAGAGUUAAGGCCAUCCAUAUGAAACCUGCAGGUCUGUUGCAACCGUUAUCAGUUCUAGAGUGGAAAUGGGAAGAGGUCAGUAUGGACUUUAUCACAGGUUUACCAACGACGAGGAAGGGGAAUGACUCGAUUUGGGUAAUCAUAGAUCGAUUGACCAAGUCGGCUCAUUUCAUUCUAGUUAAGAACACAUACAGAUCUCCCGAGUAUGCCGAUAUAUAUAUGGCUGAGAUUGUCAAGUUGCAUGGCAUUCCUAAGACCAUCAUAUCAGAUAGAGGACCACAGUUCACCGCUCACUUCUGGGAGCGAAUGCAUAAGAGUUUGGGACCAAUCUCAUAAGAAGCAUCGCGUAUCAUCCCCAGACUUCAGGUCAAACUAAAAGACUAAAUCAAGUGUUAGAGGAUAUGCUGAGGGCCUGUGUGCUAUCGUCCAAGGGAUCAUGGGAAUCAUGGUUACCUCUGGCUGAAUUCUCAUACAAUAAUAGUUAUCAAGAGAGUAUCAAGAUGGCUCCGUUCGAAGCUUUGUAUGGUCAAAGAUGUAGAACUCUGUUAAACUGGGUUGAACCUGGUGAAAGAAGAUACUAUGGUAUCGACUUUGUGAAUGUAGCUGAGAAAAAGGUACAAAUCAUACAGCAGCAUAUGCAAGCGGCACAAUCACGACAAAAGAGUUAUGCUGAGAAGAGAAGAAGGCCACUUGAAUUCAAUGUAGGUGACUAUGUGUACCUCAAGGUUACGCCAAUGAAGAAAGUCCAAUGUUUCUGAGUUCGAAGCAAGCUUGCACCCAGAUAUGUGGGACCGUAUCAAAUACUAGAGAGGAAAGGCCCAGUGGCCUACAAUAUUCAGUUGCCCGAAGAGUGGAGUUCGAUCUUUCCAGUUUUCCAUGUGUCCCAACUAUGGAAAUGUUUGAAAGUACCUGAGCAAAGGAUUGAACCUUGAGGGAUCAAAAUAAAAGCAGACUUGGAGUAUAAAGAGCAGCCAGUGGGGAUCGUAGAUACCAAGGAACGAGUAACCCGAAACAGAAUUGUCAAAACAUACAAGGUGGUGUGGAGUGAUCAUGACGAUAGGGAUGCCACCUGGCAAAACGAGGAUUACCUAAAAACAGUUUAUCCAAAAUUUCAUAAGAAAUGGUUAGUAAGGCAAAUCUCGGGACGAGAUUUCCCUAAGGGGGGAGGGCUGUAACACCCAAGGUGUUAAGCAUGCACUUAGUCUUAUCAAAACAUUCAUAAGCAUUCUCAUCAAGCAUAGCAUCACAUGAGCAUGCCAUCCAUCCAAAAUGUGAUUUUAUGUGCUUUAUUCUAUGUGAUUUAAAUAUGCUAAAAAUAAGAUGCUUGCUUCAAAAAUUGUGAAAUAUUCAAGAUAGGUUGAUUUAUGUGCAAAAAGAUUUAAGAGUAUUUUUUGUGCAAUUUUUGGAGCCAUAGAAUUUGAGAAAUGGAAUUUAUACAAAAAUCCCCAAAAUGAAUUUAUUUGAAAACCUAAAACUAGUUUUAAUUUGUAAUUCAAAUUCUGUUUGGAAUUUGAUCUUGCUUAUUAAAAUAAAGUUGUAGGAUUUUUGUUUUGGAACAACUUUGCUUUUGGGAGAAAGAGCUGAAAAUGAUUUUAAAAUGGUCCAAAUGAAUUUAGAAAGAGUUUGAGAAAAGAAAUUUGAAAAAAAAUAGAAAAGGGAAAAGGGGGGCGCUAGCAGGCCGCGGCCUCACUUCUGGCCCACUGGCCGAAGCCGGCCCAGCCCGCCCACGCUCACCCCCUUCCCCGCGCUAGCGCCGCGUCCGCGCGCGCGGACGGCCGCGCCGUGCCGCCGUGGCGCGCCGGCAGAGCCUGGCCGCCGCGUGGCGAGCAUGCGGCAGCUUGGACACGCCCUGGUCGGCCACCAGGAGCCCCCGGCCACGUCCGCCGCUGCCCCCGCUGCCAUUUGCGCUCCUCCACUCGCGCUCUCGCCCUCCGCUCGCUCGCGCGCAGCAGCCGCCGCUCCGCCGCACGCCAUCGUCGCCGACGGCUUGGAGCUCCUCUCCUGGCCAGCUCCGGCCUUCUUCUUCCUCUCCGCGACCACCAUCAGCUCCGCCUCGUCCUUCCGCGUCGCGUGCUCGCGCUCAACCGUGCUCGGUGAGCCCCGCGUGCCCGAUAAAGCUCACCGGAGUGAGUCGGAGCUCCGGCGACCUCUCGGCUCGCGCGGUUCUCUCUCUCCUUUCCGCCUUUGCUUGCGUUCGUAGGUGCAUUAGCUUUGCCUUGGCUUUGCGCACCUUUCCCCAUCGUUAGCCCACGCUCUACCGCCGCGAAACAGCCGGACCACGGCGAGGUAGUUCCGGUGCUCGUCAGGUGCCAAAAAGGGCAUGGUUGGACUCGUCCUGUGUUCGCGAAGCCGUAGGUGUUCCCGGUGUCGUCGGAAACCUCACCGGCGGUGAGAUUCCGGCCAAUCUUUGGCCGCGGAGUCGUGGGGUGGCUGACAAGUGGGGUCACCUGACUCACGGGUCUCGCCUGUCAGUGAUUCCAAGGGUUUCAAUCCGGGUGCACUUAGCGUUUUAAGUCGUUUUUCCAUUUUAAAGGUUUUUCCAGAAAAUGGUUUAAAUAUUCUAAAUUCCAUAUCUUGAGAUCCAUAGCUCCACAAUUCGUGAAAUAAAUUUUGGUGUGUUCUCUGUUUCCAGAUCUAUAACAUGGUAUGGUUGCAUCUCAUGUUUAAGUAACUUUUCUGUGCAAUUAUAUUUAAUCCAUGUUUUUGCUAGAUUUGGAAAAUGCAUAGUAAUUAAAAUAUGACUCAGAAAAAUGUGACACUUGUUUUGUUGGCUCUGCAUGUAUGUUUAGUCACUGGAAAAUAUUACUACACAUUAUUUGGUGUAUAGAUGAAUUUGUAGUGAUUUAAAUGCUUGCAUGGCAGUGGUUUAUGAUUUUUAAUAAAAAUUUGGAUCCUGCAAUUAAUCUGGUAAUUUUUGUGGGUGUUUCUUAUGAUAUUAGGCAAAUUAUAAAAAUAUGAAAUCUGCUUAAUCUUUUGAUUUUUGUAGCUCAAAAUAAGUAUCCAAAAAUUAUGAAAAAUUUAUAGUGGACUUUAUGCUUGACUGAUAGUCUCCUGUAAUUUUUGUAGAAUUUAUUGAUGAACAGAACUGCAUGCAAAUUUUGAUGGGCCUAGAAAUGAAUAAAGAAAUUAUGAAUUGUUAUAUGUAGAUUAAGUAGAAUAAAAGAGGAUUUGGUGUAUAUUUGAAGUAUCUUGUGAGUUGCUGGUUACACUUGAAAAUAAGUUUGUGGGGAAAGAAGGAAAUAGAUGCUUAGUGUAAUUGCAUGUUCUUGGAUGACAUUGACUACCUUGUAAAGAGCAUGACCAAUUAAAUCACUUAUGCAUCAUGUCAUGAUCAUUUGGUACCUUCUCAUACAAGCAUCCACUCGGGCAUCUCGCACUCCACUCAUGAGCACACAUGCAUCAUACAGGCUCGCAGGAGAACGAGGUGGGGCCCGAGGAGCAGGAGGAGACCCAGGAGCAGGAACCUCUGGGAGAACCGAAACCCAGAGAAGAGCUAUAGGAGUGUCCGGAUCACCGGCCCAGCACGUUUGAGAAAGGCAAGCGCCGGAGCAUUCUAAGUCUCCCUAUUCUCGCUAACUUACAUGAUACACUAUGCUUGUUCUACUAUGUUGCAUUUACGUGAUAGGAAUUGGUUGAUACCGUUGAUGCAUAGGUACUCCUUGAUAUCACCAUCUGUUUAUCUACCUUGUCCUAUGUAGAUAGGCACGGAGUCUUUGCUUAGCUUGCCUAGCCCGGUAGAAGUCGGGUGAUUUCCUGUCACCUGCGAGAUAUAGGUGGAUACCAGCUUGAUUAACCGGUGAUUGCUUUGGGAAAAAUAACCAAGUGUGGAAUGGAAAUUUGAGACCGGGCGGGGUCUUAUGGUGGCGUUGACUAUAGUGCCCCUGCCUGUGUCGAUUAAGGACCGAUCGUUGAUGGCCCUCUUGUCAUGUUGAACGCAUGCCCCACACUUAGCUGGAAGGAUAAGUCGUUCCGACCGCGAAGCCUGAACACUAUCCGAGCCGGGAGUCGAGCCGCCAUGCGCUGUAUUGGUGAUGGUUGAGGAGAACGACGAGGGCGCGGCGCGCAACCUUGUUAUACCUUGGAUACCUCGGUCACCGGAACGGUCCGCGGGUACUGGCAGUGCCUGCCGAACCCGCGAUUUAGUCCUAGAUAGUGUAACACGGUGAUCUGUAGCUCACUUGAUCAGUGAGUGUGGUUUAUGUGGGGAAUACCUCGCCAGCUGGUUAGAAAUCGAUUCGAAUCGCCAUCGCUCCUGCAUAGUGAGCACUUGACAUGAGCUUCGUCCUCGUAGUAAGGACUAUCGAACACUUGGGUUAUAAUGAUAAAUGGUUUCAUGAAUGACAUGAUGGGGUACCAUCAUAUUACUAUACUUGCUUGUAAUAGUACAGAUGCAAACCUAGAUAAUAGGUAAUGACAAUACUAAACUUGAGCCAGAUAAAAGAAAAGUGGUUUCUAGACUAUGUUAGGGAAAUACGCGCGUUUAUGCAAAGGUCGUCAGCUAACCCCACUAUAUGGCCUUCAUGAUCCUUGAUGAGUCUUUAUUUGAGUUUAUGACGGGUAAGUCUAGCUGAGUACAUUCUCGUACUCAGGGUUCUAUUCCCAUGUUGUUUUGCAGAUGGUCAAAUGUACUAUGGUUAUUGCAUCCUCUGUCUGUACCCAGCCAUGGGUGAUGACUAGACCAAGGGCGAUGGUCACUCCGUCUUCUCUUUUGCUUUUGUGGGAAUGACCGAAUUAUGGCACUGUAUCAGACUAGGCAUGUGUGUGUUAUUUUCAAAUUAUGAAGCUUCCGCUACUUAUGAACUUGGUUUGUAAUAACUUUAAGCACUCUGAUGUAUUGUAUGAAUGUUUUCGAACUGGAUGUAACUGUGGAUGGUGACCGCUAAACUUAUUACGAUCUUGGCUGUAUGUACGAUCUGUGGUUUGAAAUCCUUCAAGAUUUCAUGGACUACCGGGAUUAUAUGGGCUUAAGCUCGAUGGUUUGACUAUGCCAAUGGUCACUAUUAGGCUUAAUCUCUUAUAAUUUGGGCGGUUCUGUUACAGCACCGCCACAACCCCUACUUCUCAAGGGAUCAUCAUCUAAUAAGGAGACCACCAUCAAGGUACCAACCGGCACGAGGAUCCUUCCACCUAGACCCAAUGAUAGGGUCGUUGGAGUCAAGACCAACCGGAGCGGCGAGAUUAGGAGCAUCUGCUACACUACGGAGGAGGAGAGACCUUACUUUGUAGGGAUUAGAGCAGCCAAAGUCCGUUUCAUCCCUCCAAUGGCUGCCCCGAAGCACGCUCUCAAUGCUUUUGAGACACCUCCUGAUAUGACCAUGCCAGCAAGCAAGAUAUCACAAGCUCCAAGUCAAGCUACAACCACUCAAGUUUUACCUACACUGACACCAGCCCAAGUCAUCGAUGGACCGGUUACACGUAGUCGUGCAAAGAAGCUACAACAAGAGGUCCACGUGCUACUUUGUGAGAUUCAUUUUAACAUUAAUGAGAAUUAUAUACUACCUAAGUGUUCUACCUUGAUUGUACUCAGAUAUAUAGAAGAAGAGAAGGAUGAAUCGGACCCUGAAGAACGAACCAGUGCAAGUCCUAGAAGACACGUCAAAAACGGAGCAGUGGAAGUCAAAAACGGACCAGUGGAAGUAAAAAACAGACCAGUGCAAAGAAAUAUUCAUAACUUUUUAAUCACAAAAGCUAUGAAGGCCCAUGAGGACUUGUUGGAAAGCUUGUCGAAUCUACUUUCCAAUGAAUCUAGUAGCUACCAGUUUGGAUACUCCAUAUUGCCUGCAGACAAGAAUUAGUACAGACUGCUCAGAAGGUCAACAGUCUGUCGUGAAAGAAAGUUAGUACAACUUGCUAUGCAAACCUGUACCAAUCUACAAAGUUUCGUGGUGCAUGGAAUACAUUGCUGGAAAGCUCUUGGAGUCUGGUUUCACACCCAAGAAACGGUUCAUCAUUUGGACUUCUCAAUAAAAAGUUAUGGCCAGUUUAUUGGAAACUGCUCUGGAGGCCAACAGUCACGCGAAGCCAGUUCGGGAAUCCAUCCCGAGGGGUCCUUUCACAUUGCCUUCCCUCAGAAACUCUAUUUCGUUUUCAUACCUAUCUAGGAGGGUUGUUUCUAGUAUAAAUAUCUCCUACCUCCAAGCUAUCAGCAACCUUUGAUCAUUUUGAUAAACUACAUGAUAUUGCAGCCGCGCUGCUGAGUGCCUUACUUAACAUUUGUUCUUCCUUGUUUUUCUUGGACUUGUGAAGUGAAUCCUCUGGGUUCCCCUACUUCGUGCUCUACGGCUUCCGUUCAGCUGCGCCGUAUUGUGUGGAUUAGUUCUGAAUUGUGGUUCUGCGGUCGUUCGGAGAUCGAGUCGAAGUCUUCGUGGUUUCGGUGCCUCUCUACCCGUCGCUUGGUCGAGAAAAGAAAUCUUUUUUAAUUUAGAGCACCAUGCAUUCUUCGAACAACCUGCUUCUUCGAUGACAAUGUUGAUCAACUUUCUUUUGAGCUAGUCAAAAUACCAUUGCAACUGUUUGGACGACUUUCCUGCUUAUUGAAGACGUCAAGCCUCACUGAUCGAAGAAGCUCAAGACGGCUGUUACAUCGCAAUACAUGGUGCUCGGGGACUAGCUGUGGGGGUAUAAACCUCUAUACCCUCAUGGGCCUAUAUGGGCCGCACCAUCAGAGGUGGCUCGGCCCAUAGGAUGAAGACGUGCGGUGCACGAUUGGUCGGCGUGCACCGCAAGGCUACAAGAUAUUGUACCAAAUAGGAUACUUUGCUUGUAACUCUGUCCCUUCAGGAUAUAUAAGGAGGGGCAGGGGUUCCCUAGAGGACAGGUCAUACACAUUAUUCCUCAACACGAAUCAAUACAAUCAGACGCAGGACGUAGGUAUUAUGCCCACACGGCGGCCGAACCUGGAUAAAAAACUUGUCUGUGUCUUGCGUCACCAUCGAGUUCGUAGUUUGCGCACCGUCUACUGACAAACUACUACCGUGGGUAUACCCCAAGGUAGACUGCCGACCAGCUUUCGUCGACACAUCCAACCUUUCUCAGGUAUAAAGCUAGUUACCCGCUGUUCGCAGCAAGUUAUCCUUGUUCUUUUGAUCUACUGUCGUGAAGAUCGGGCCACCCUUGUGCUGAUUCAUAUCGAUAGCCUAUCAACUGGUAUCAAAGCUUUCGUUGUCAUGGUAGAUCUUACAAACAUCCACAUUUUUAUCUUUAGUAUAUCAAUCAUUUGCUACUGAUUUGUUCAUCCCUAUAGUCCACUGAAAAAGCCACAAAAAAAUCCUAAAGUCCUUUGACGGUACUGUUAUCUUGUGUUUUAUGUUCAUCAAGUUGCUAGUCAGCCUCUUUAUAUAUAUUGUGUUGUGUUUCAUUUGCUAUCCGCAUCCCUAUUAGUAUAAAAAAAAGGGUUCAAAAAAAAGUCAGAAAAAAAUAGAGAAAAGAAAAGAGUAAGAACAGGAAAAGUAGAAGAAGAGGAAAGGGGUUGUAUUGCGGUUUGCUCACUGAAAAUUCAGUUUACACAUUCAGAUUCUUGGUGAUUUAUAUACCAGCAACAUUACAUCUUGUGAGCACAUCAAAUCACUUGAUUUUCAGUACUUUGGCCUCCUUUGUUUAGCCACCUAUAGCUCCACCUAAAACUGAAACCAGGACAUUUGACUCGUAAUCCUUGCGACCUCGGAAUCACUUCUGUUGAGCCGCUACACUAGCACAAUUCAUUGUCCUUGAGAACAGGAAAGAGCAUUGGUAAGUAAGAGGUGAGGUUCUAUGAUUCCACAAAUUUACCCAUUCCACUAUAUUUUGCCUUAAGUGCUAACAUGACAGGAUCCAACUCAAUUAUUCAUGGUAAUCGUCAUGGAGAAGAACCCCCUUGUUGCACAGGCUGAGUUGCGCCAAAUGGAAGACUCACUCUUGCAGGCCAUGGAGAGAAUGCUUGAUGCACGCAUACCUGCAGAUGGGCAGAGGGCUCCUCGGCAUCAAUCUGAUGAAUCUGGUGCUGAAAAUUCUAAUGGAGGACAUGACCGUUUUAGAGAUGGUCGUGGUGGUGGUAGGCGGGCUGGUCAUCAUGGCCAAAAUGGAGGACGAGCUCAUGGGCGUGGUCGUGGCCAUCGAGUUCAUUUUGAUGAUGAGGAAUUUGAUAACUUUGGUCACGAAGAGGGCUCUGAUGAGAAUCCCUUUGCAAAUGAUGGGCUGCAUAGGCGGCGCCAUUAUCAUCGCCGGCAUGCUGAUCAUGGAGAUAGAGAGCAUCAUCAUGGACGUCGUAAUAGGGAAGAACUGGAUAGCAUUGCUCGUGUCAAGUUGAGUAUCAUAAAAUUCACUGGAAGAGAGGAUGCAGAUGCAUAUCUUGAGUGGGCUGAGCAGUGUGAUCAAAUUUUUACAGUGCAUAAUCUCUCUGAUCAGAGGUGUGUCAAUCUUGCUUCAGUGGAGUUCUCUGGUUAUGCUCUGACUUGGUGGAAUCAGAUACAAGAGAAUCAACUUAUGUCGGGCCAUGAACAUAUCAACACAUGGGAAGAGAUGAAGCAAGUGAUGAGAAGGUGAUUUGUACCAUCAAGCUAUCAGCGUGACCUUCGCAAUAGGUUACAAAUGUUGAAGCAAGGAAAAAGAUCGGUUGAUGAGUAUUAUAAGGAGAUGGAGCUGCUGUUAGUGCGGACUGGAAUUAGACAGGAUCCAGAGUAAAAAAUGGCAAGAUUUUUGGGUGGUCUCAAUGAGGAAAAUGCUGGUUUUGUUGAGAUGUUUCCAUACCAUACUUUGCAAGACCUUGUUGAUCAAGCUAUGCGUACUGAAAGAAAAAUUUAGCAAGAGACACGUGAAAAAUCUUAUGCAAGUCAUUCUAUUGCAGUCCCAUGGCGCAAGUAGCAGUCCAGCAAUUCUUUUGGUGGGGGACGGUUCCAAGGUGCUGCAGCUCGGCCCUCUUCAUCUAAUGCUCCUUCAAAGAUGGUGGUUUCUACAGCAUCAUCCCCUGCAUAUGAGCAGCGACCUGCUACAAGUGUAGCAGCCCCAACUUUUGCUUCCUCAGCUACUACUUCCUCUGCACGUAGUAGAGAAAUUGUGUGCCACAAGUGCCAUGGUCGUGGAUAUAUUGCUGCACAAUGUCCUAGUAGGAGGACCAUGAUUGUGAAUGAGAAUGGUGAAUGGGAAUCUGAAAGUGAUCGAGAGGAAGAAGUCCAAGAUAUGAUGAGGAUCGUGAGAACCAUGAUAAUGAGAUCCAACCCGAUGAAGGUGAUAACAACUGCUUUAUUUCUCUUCGUGUGCUUAGUGUUACUGCUGCAAAGGAAGAGAAUGGGCAGCGACACAAUCUUUUCCACACUCGAGGCAUGAUCAAAGAGAAGUUGUGUAGAAUUAUUGUUGACAAUGGCAGCUGCAACAAUAUUGCUAGCCAAGAAUUGGUUGAUAGAAUGGAGCUAAAACAAAGGCGUCAUCCUAAUCCAUACAAGAUGCAGUGGCUGAAUGAUUGUGGAGCGCUGCGUGUGAGCCAUGUUGUGACAGUUCCUUUCUCUAUUGGGAGGUAUAAUGAUCAUGUGGAGUGUGAUGUGGUGCCUAUGCAAGCAUGCCAGCUGCUGCUAGGUAGACCAUUGUUAUAUGAUCGUGAUGUUCAAAUCUUUGGAAGAACCAACAAGCUGGUUUUCAUGUACAAAGGAGAGUGAAUUUCUUUGCUCCCUUUGACACCGGAGGAGAUUUUGAAUGAUGAUCUAAAAAGAAAACCGCGAGAGAGCGAGAACCACUUGUGAGUGACCCACAAAAAUAGUGAGGGAGUGUUUCCAAAGCCAAUUAAAACCCCACAGCCACAAAUGACCAAGACAAAGGGAAAAGAGGGAUUAGUUAUGAUGGCUAGGACAGGGGAUUUAAAAGAAUUGAGUGAACCCAAUGCCACAUUCAUUGUACUCCUGUACAAGGAAAAUUUUUUCCCCUAAUGACUCAUCCUCUACUUUGCCAAGUGUUAUUUUUAAUGUGUUACAGGAAUAUGAGGAUGUCUUUCCAGAGGAGGUACCACCAGGGCUGCCACCCAAGAGAGGAAUUGAACAUUAAAUUGACCAUGUUCUCGGUGCUUCACUUCCAAACCGAGCUGCAUACCGCACCAAUCCGGAGGAAACAAAAGAAAUUCAGCAACAAGUGGAAGAAUUGUUGAGAAAAGGGUAUGUGCAGGAAAGUCUUUCACCUUGUGCAGUCCCUGUUCUUUUAGUUCCAAAAAAAGAUGGUUCAUGGAGAAUGUGUGUUGACUGUAGAGCUAUUAAUAACAUCACAGUAAGAUAUAGGCAUCCCAUUCCUAGACUUGAUGAUAUGCUUGAUGAACUUAGUGGUGGAACAAUUUUCACUAAAAUUGACUUGAGAAGUGGCUAUCACCAAAUAAGAAUGAGAGAAGGAGAUGAGUGGAAGACAGCUUUUAAAACCAAGUUUGGGUUGUAUGAAUGGUUGGUAAUGCCCUUUGGAUUGACUAAUGCACCAAGUACCUUUAUGAGAUUGAUGAACCAUGUGCUUAGAUCUUUCAUUGGCAAGUUUGUUGUGGUUUACUUUGAUGAUAUAUUAAUUUACAGCAAGUCUCUUGAUGAACAUGUUGAGCAUAUCCAAAGUGUGCUUGCUGUCCUACGUGAGCAAAAAUUGUAUGCUAACCAUGACAAGUGCACAUUUUGCAUCGACAAGGUAGUCUUUCUUGGUUUUGUUGUUUCAGGACAUGGUGUGGAGGUGGAUGAGGAUAAGAUCAAAGCUGUUAGUGAGUGGAUGCCUCCACAGAAUGCAAGUCAAGUGCGUAGCUUCCUUGGACUUGCUGGUUUCUACCGGCGAUUUGUGAAAGAUUUCAGCACCAUUGUUGCUCCAAUCAAUGAGUUGACAAAGAAAGAAGUGCCUUUUAAUUGGGGAGUAGCACAAGAGAAGGCAUUUGAAGAACUGAAGAUGAAGUUGACAACAGCCCCACUUCUUGCACUUCCAGAUUUCGGUAAGACAUUUGAAAUUGAAUGUGAUGCAAGUGGUAUAGGAAUUGGUGGCGUCCUCAUGCAAGAAAGGAGGCCGAUUGCAUACUUCAGUGAAAAGCUAAGUGGUCCAACUCUGAAUUACUCAGUUUAUGAUAAAGAAUUAUAUGCUCUUGUUAGAAGCUUGGAAACUUGGCAACACUACCUUUUGCCUAAUGAAUUUGUGAUACAUUUAGACCUUGAAUCUUUGAAACAUCUUAAAGGCCAACUAAAACUGAACCAAAGACAUGCAAAAUGGAGUGAGUUCAUUGAGUCCUUUCCUUAUGUUGUCAAGUACAAGAAAGGGAAAGAUAACAUUGUAGCUGAUGCUUUGUCUCGACGUCAUACUUUGCUUUCACGAUUUGAUACUAAAAUUCUUGGAUUAGAAAGUAUAAAAGAACUAUAUGUUAAGGAUUCAUAUUUUGCAGAACCAUAUUCCAAGUGUUGUGGCAGCAAGGGAUGGGAAAAAUUCCAUUUGCAUGAGGAUUUCUUAUUUCGAGCUAAUAAACUUUGCAUUCCAGAUUGCUCUGUUCGCAUUUUACUAGUGCAGGAAGCUCAUGCAGGAGGACUUAUGGGCCAUUUUGGUGCAAAGAAAACAGAACAAGUGCUGACUGACCAUUUCUUUUGGCCUAAGAUGAGAAGAGAUGUGGAGAGGCAUGUUCUUCGCUGUGAAACCUGCCAUAAAGCUAAGUCCCAUUUGAAUCCUCAUGGUUUAUACACUCCUCUACCUAUCCCUAGUGUCCCUUGGGAGGACAUUUCUAUGGACUUUGUCCUUGGUUCACCACGAACCAAGAGGGGAAAGGAUUCCAUAUUUGUUGUGGUUGAUAGAUUUAGCAAAAUGGCACACUUUAUUCCCUGUCAUAAGAGCGAUGAUGCUUCACACAUUGCUCAAUUGUUUUUCAGAGAAAUUGUGCGUCUACAUGGAGUGCCACGUGCCAUCGUGUCUGAUCAUGACACCAAGUUUUUGAGUUACUUUUGGAAAACCUUGUGGGGAAAACUGGGGACAAGGCUGCUGUUCUCCACAACGUGUCAUCCUCAAACGGAUGGACAAACUGAAGUUGUGAACCGCACAUUAUCAACAUUGCUGCGAGCUGUCCUAAAGAAGAAUCUGAAAUUGUGGGAAGAAAGCUUGCCUCAUGUGGAGUUUGCAUACAACAGGGCAGUACAUUCGACCACAAAAUUUUAUCCAUUUGAGAUUGUCUAUGGGUUCAAACCUACUGCUCCCAUCGAUCUUUUGCCUUUGCCUAUGCAGGAACGUGUGAACUUUGAUGCAAGCAAGUGAGCAGAAUUUGUCAAGAAGCUUCAUGAUCAAGCUAAAGCAAACAUUGAGAAGAUGACCAAGUUACAUGAGAAGCACGCCAACAAGGGUCGUAAGAAGAUGUUAUUUGAACCGGGAGACUUGGUUUGGGUGCACCUGCGCAAGGAUCGCUUUCCUGAACAACGCAAGAGCAAGCUGCAACCCCGAGCCGAUGGUCCACUCAAAGUGCUUCGCAAAAUCAAUGACAAUGCUUAUGAAAUUGAUCUUCCAAGUACUCAUGGUGUGAGUACAAGUUUCAAUGUCUCCGACCUUUCUCCAUUCUUUGGAUUGGAAGAGUCGAGGACGACUCUUUUUGAAGGGGGGAGGAUGAUAUGACCAUGCCAGCAAGCAAGAUGUCACAAGCUCCAAGUCAAGCUACAACCACUCAAGUUUUACCUACACCGACACCAGCCCAAGUCAUCGAUGGACCGGUUACACGUAGUCGUGCAAAGAAGCUACAACAAGAGGUCCACGCGCUACUUUGUGAGAUUCAUUUUAACAUUAAUAAGAAUUAUAUACUACCUAAGUGUUCUACCUUGAUUAUACUCAGGUAUAUAGAAGAAGAGAAGGAUGAAUCGGACCCUGAAGAACGAACCAGUGCAAGUCCUAGAAGACACGUCAAAAACGGAGCAGUGGAAGUCAAAAACGGACCAGUGCAAAGAAAUCUUCAUAACUCUUUAAUCACAAAAGCUAUGAAGGCCCAUGAGGACUUGUUGGAAAGCUUGUCGAGUCUACUUUCCAAUGAAUCUAGUGGCGACCAGUUUGGAUACACCAUAUUGCCUACAUACCAGAAUUAGUACAGAAUGCUCAGAAGGUCAACAGUCUGUCGUGAUAGAAAGUUGGUACAAAUUGCCGUGCAAACCUGUACCAAUCUACAAAGUUUCGUGGUGCAUGGCAUACAUUGCUGCAAAGCACUUGGAGUGUGGUUUCACACCCAAGAAACGGUUCGUCAUUUGGACUUCCCAAUAAAAAGUUAUGGUCAGUUUAUUAGAAACUGCUCUGGAGGCCAACAGUCACACGAAGCCAGUUCGGGAAUCAAUACCGAGGGGUCCUUUCACAUUGCCUUCCCUCAGAAACUCUAUUUUGUUUUCAUACCUAUCUAGGAGGGUUGUUUCUAGUAUAAAUAUCCCCUACCUCUAAGCCAUCAGAAGCCUUUGAUCAUUUUGAUAAACUACAUGAUAUUGCAGCCGCGCUGCUGAGUGCCUUACUCAACCUUUGUUCUUCCUUGUUUUUCUUGGACUUGUGAAGUGAAUCCUCUGGGUUCCCCUACUUCGUGCUCUAUGGCUUCCGUUCGGCUGCGCCGUAUUGUGUGGAUUAGUUCCGGAUUGUGGUUCUGUGGUCGUUCGGAGAUCGAGUCGAAGUCUUCGUGGUUUCGGUGCCUCUCUCCCCGUCGCUUGGUCGCAUCCAACCUUUGUCAGGUAUAAAGCUAGUUACCCGCUAUUCGCAGCAAGUUAUCCUUGUUCUUUUGAUCUACUGUCGUGAAGAUCGGGGCACCCUUGUGCCGAUUCAUAUCGGUAGCCUAUCACCUCCUAAGCGUCGUAAGACUAUAGUAGAUAUUGAUGAGGAUGUUCGCAGGCUAGACAGAGUCAUCAUAGAACUCCAGUCCUCGAUUAACUCCAUCACUAGGCAGCGCUCUAAUCACAACACCAUUAUACUAGGCCUUAAGAAUGAUCUUGCUAGUGCCAAUAAGAAGAUCAAGGAGUUAGAGCGCCACUAAGUUAUCUAGAUUAGACCUUGGGGCAAUGCAUCUUAGUUAUUUAUCUUUAAAUUCGGUUUAGGUUUACUAUUAUCAUUAGUUUGCUACUAUUAUCAUCAGUUUGCUACUAUUAUCGUCAGUUUGCUACUAGUCAUUUGUAAUAAAUGCCUCAAGAUUAAUAAAGAAUAUUAUUAUUAUUAUUAUUAUCUCUUGUGUGUCUCUACUUUAUUUGUAUGCAAGAAAGCAGAAAACAAGUAUGGGGGAGAUCCCUCGACAUGCCAAACACACUUCGACUACACCACUCCACGAUUCAGGUACACACUCUGCAUACUUUACACAUACACAUAUCUUGGAUUAUGCAGAAUACUGUUUCCGACAUGAUAAAUUAAAAAGAUUAAAAUGUUUCUAAUCAUGAUUAAUCUCGCUCUGUGAUAUUUCCUGAAACAUGCAGGUAUUGAAAAAUCAUUUUAAAAACCCUGUGUUACUUAAGUCAUUAUGUAAUGUGAGAUGUUAUAGUAUGAGUUUCUUAUUCUUGAUAUCAUUGUUGCUUGGAGAAUUUAUUUCAAAAUCUUGAAAAUUCUAGCUACCAUACUCAGUGUUUUAUAUGCUUGAUAAACCUGAAAAUAUUAAUUAUGAUUACAAAAGCUAUCUACUAUGUAUUGAGUUUGUUCAAAAUGAGUUAGACCCUUGUUGAGAGAUUUAUCAUGCUCCUAAGAUCAAGACAUUUAUUCAGAAAGAUUCACUCUUCCGAAGUAUUAUUGCAUUAGAGGCAUGGGCUAUGCAAAAAUAAGGAUAUUUUGAGGAAAUAAAAAGGAGCAAGUGCUCGAUAACCUCGCAGAAAAAAUGGACAAGUGUCCAGCAGUAGAAUUAGGGUUACCUCGGUAUCCACUUAAAAAAAGAGAGAAAAAAGAAGAAAAUGAUAGUCCAUGGUCCCUCUAAUAAGCAAUAUGCCAGCAAGAGUUGACAAGUUUUUAAUUUCCAAGGUCUUUGGUCUAAGAGUAUGACAUUCUUCUCCUUGGAUCCCGUUUUGAUCAGACAAUGAAUGCAGAGUAAGUAUGCUUGAGAAUUUUUGCAAAUUAAGACAGCCUGAGUGAGAUAUAUAAAAGAUAAUGAGUGACCUGAGAGAACCGAUGAGGAUAAAAGGUAUGCUAACUUUCUUUUCAAAAAUAUACAAAAAACUCCAAGUGACAGGGUUGAGAAGAAAGGGCCUCUACUCUUGAUCAUAUAUUUCCCUGACUAUGGUACAUAGUGAAUUUUUUACAACACCCUGCAAGUAUGAAGAAAAUGUUUUACAAUGUUUCACCCCAGAUAUUAUUCUUAACCAUCAUUUUCUCGAGGACGAGUAAAAGCCUAAUAUGGGGGUAUUUGUUGACGGUUCUUAAGUAUCAAUUUUAAUUAUCAAAUAAACAAGAGAAAGUACCAAUAUGCAAACAACACCUAAAAUUAGGGUUUGAUCUGACAGAAUUCCACGUGUUUUUUUGUUUAUCUGUUUCUGCAGGGGGUUAUCAGGAAAAAAGGAAGAAAGGCCCACAUGUCAGGAUUACAUAGAGAUAUCAACGUACCGCGCAAUUUUCUACCAUCUAGAAGACUCUAGAAGCCACGGGAACAAAGCGGAGGCCGAAAGGGGCCUGGCCCAGGGCGCCCGCCCCCCUCUGUACUCCAAUCAAGACUCUUUUAGCGGACCAAGCUCCACCGAUCUAAAGGAUCAAGGAUAACCAUCCAAUCAAUGUCGGUUUGAUCCAACGGCUCACGUUCACUUGAGGGGACUAUAAAACCAGACCCCCUGGCCCCUGGAGGAGACAAGUUCAUCAUAGAGUUGAGAGGAGCCCUCGAAGGAAUACCUCUCCUCUGAAUAAAAUUUCUUUUAGGCUUAGCAUCCAAUGUGAGUAGAAUUAGAUCUUCUAGUUUCUACUAGAUUGAGAGAGAUAGAGUGGAGGUGUAGAUCGGAGGAAGCCUGGCCUGUCGGUGUCUACUCCGAGGUUGUACCUGCGAGAUCAAGUUCUCCUAACCCGAAGCUUGCUCCUAGGAUUCUUCAGUAUUUCGACUUCUAAAUUCUAGUAAGUUCUUGUUUUAUUAUUCUUUGGUUUAUGAGUUUACUUUAAUCUCUUUGUGUAGAGUUUAGAGUAAUCAUCUCUGGCAUAAACGUGGUGUUUAGGCUAGGAUACUCAUAGAUAUUCCCUGAGUAGCUAGAUCGUGGUAGUAGUGAGGAACGUGACAUUUCCGAGUUACCUUUGCAGACUAUAUCUCGUUAGUAGGAAGGAUAGGGUUUAUAGGUGCGUGUUGAACAUCCUCUGUGGUGUCUAGAUUCCGUAAGCUUCCCCAAUAGAACAGUAGAUCAUCCUUACCAAGGUUAGAAAGAGAUUACGGUUGUAGUCUUCUCUAUUUAUCACUCACAUCGAGAAACAUUCUUUGUAACCUAAAGGUUAGUAGUAAUAGACCAGGUUAGUUAGAUGCACUCUUUCUCCUAGUGGUAAAAAAUAAAUACGAUACUCUGGAUAACCUCCCGGGUGAAGUGCUCACCGAUAUCCGUGCGCUUGCGGAUCAAUUCCUUAUUGCGUUCCCAAAUAUCAACAGAUGGCACUAACUGAUGAAGGGUAAUGACUGGUGGUCCUUCCUCUUGCACCUUGAGUUGUUCAUAGACAUCUUGUCUCCUCUGUUAUCCUCAUUGUUUUGCCAUCUUUUGCUUUUUUAAUCUGUUGACUCUUUUCACUCCAGUUAUUAUUAUGCCUGCAACGGAUUAGUGGACAACACAUACCUGAAGAAAUAUACAAGUAAUGACAAGGGCAUUUUUGUAACAUAGCUAAGGGUCACUUUCUAUGCUAUGAAAAGGAAUUUACCUGAGCAUACUUAGCAUAGCGCAUUAACAUAGCUAAGUAGGGACAACCAAGGUGGUAUAGCAGUGUGCCAAAAGAUGUAUCUAUGUAAGCAUAUCCCCCAAGCUUGACUUUUGCAAAAGUCAAGAUUGAAUGAAAAUAAUUCAAUAUUGCAUAAUGAUUGGUUGGACAUAUGUGUCUACAACCACCCUCUUAAUGAUUUUAUUAAUAGGUAGAAUAAGGGGGUUGAGGAUCUCAUGUGUGUUAAUUUUAGAUACUAACUGAUCCACGACAUUUCUCAUAUGAGCAUGGGUCUGAUAUGGAGUUUAAUGAAAUAAUUCACAUCCACGACAAUAUGAUCUCCCUUUUCAAACUCCAAGGGUGUCUCUUUAUGGUUGUCUAUAGGCAAUAAGUUUGCCUCCAUUAUUUCUUGCCUAUGACACUUAUUAGAUAUUCUAUUUUAUAGGAUUUCCCAUGAAUUGAUGUCCCUAAGGUUGGUCUCGUCUAAAGCUUUCCUUUAAACUUGGGUGAGUUAUGUUUAUUGAUUUAAGCUCAACAUCUGAAUUUAGACCAAGUUUAGAUGCUAUUGCUAAAACUUCAUCUUCUUCCAUCCAUUCUUUUACAAUAGCAUAUGUAUUUCUAUUAUGUUUCACGCGUUCUUGCUAUUGUUGUUGCUCUUCAAGGGUAUUCUGUAAUCUUCAUGACUCCUAUUCUUAGGAUGUCUUGAUGGAUUUCUAGGGUCAUUAUGAAGUUUAGUAGAAGGAGCAUAAAAAGAUUUAUUGGGGUCAAGGAUGGGUUUAGAGAUGGGUUCAAAGACAUUUAAUAUGGGCAUAGAAGGAGACAAGAUAGAAUUUAUUUCUAAGUGGCUUGGCUCUCCUUCUAUGGCACUACUUGGCAUGCCAUCCUUGAAUUCUUCGAGUGCCUUUUUAGGAAUGAAAGGAAGAUGAUGAUGCUUUUUCCAAGAUGCUCUUUAUGAGCAUCUUGGCUAAUUGGAAGUCUAAAUCAUUAAAGUGCAAUUUUAAAGGUUUAGGAUUGAUAGCUAAAUCUCAAGAAUGAUGUGAUUGUAUUUUAGUUAUCAAGACUUUGGUUUUUAGUUUAGAUAAUAAAUCCUUUUCUUCUUUUGGGGAGUUCAGAAAUAGCUGGAGCAACUCUUUUGAGCAUAAACUCUUGCAUUUAAAACAUAAGAAAGGACUCUCGAGAAGAUAAAUCAAGGGAUUCCGUGUAACCCUUGGUAAGACCCAAAUGUUGAAUAAACAUGGGGCCUAGCAAACCAAGGUUAGGAUUAAUGAUCCUAUGAUAUAUUUGAGAAGGCUUUAUUAUAUUAUGUAGACAUGGGCAUAGCUUAUAGAUAUUAUGAUAAGGUUUAUGCUUUAAGCUUUUGCACAUGCCAUAAAGAUAAAUAGCAAUAGAAUUAAAAACGUCCAUAAGGACGAACACAAAAAUAAUGAAGAGACUGGGAUAAAAACAGGAAAAGAUAAAAGUAUAAUACAAGACUAAGCUAAACUAAGUCAAAAUAAGCAAACCAUUCCCUCGCAACGGCACCAAAAAUGCUUGUUCGUAUAAAUUAAUUGCACUCCAUUUAAAUAGAUUUAAGUAAGAUUAUCCACAAGCACACAGUUAUCAUACCAGCGUCACAUUUUACCCUGAGGUUUUAAAUAUUGAAUCCACAGGGAACAGUUGUGAUUAUGACAUAGUAUAUAGAAAUAACCAUACAAUUAGGCUAGAUCUUAUCAAAAAAAGGUAAUAGCUAAUGCACUCUGGUUCCGACUCCGGUAAACUUUCUAUAAUACCGUCUUAUCAGGCAAGUAACCCAAAUAGGGGAAGAAUCAGAGUAAUCCCCUAUCAGGCACCUAUAAGCCUAUCAAUCCUAUCAACAGGAAGUGGACUACAGAGGAUUCAACACAGGUGUCACCUACGCAAACUACCACUGUACGGCUGAUCAGGGGAUAUUCACAAGUAAACCUAGCCUAGGCACCAUGCCUACACUACAAAAUACUACUUCAACCAAGUUACAACCAAGAUCAAAGCACUCAAUAUGAGUUGCAAACCAAAGAACAAAUAAGAACAAGAUGCUUACUUAAACCAGAAGGGUAAGUACAAAAGUACCUUAGAACGUAGCUGCAGGCAAGGGAACUGAAUCCAGACGAAUACAGCCGUGAAGAAGCACCGACAGGCCAGAACUCUUCCAGAAUUUCUACUCCUCAACUUAAUCUCUCUGGUCCAUAAACAAGAUUAGAUCUAGAAGGACUAGUCUCUCCUAAUUGCUACAUCUAGAUGAACUAGAACUAGUUCAACUAGAGGGACCCUAACCAUAAUUAUGUAGAGAAUAUGAAGCGCCGGGGUGUAGAAUGCCUCUUGGGGAGAGUCUUGGGCGUAAUUAUAUAGGCCAAGGUGGAGUAGGGGGCAAGGAACCGCCACGUCAGCGAUUUGCAUCUUCGUCUUGUGUUCACCGGCGGAUCAAACAGACUUAAAAUCGAUGGAGGGAUACUUUACUUGGCUUCCAAGUAUGCGUGGGAGGAAGACUCCAGAAGGCGGCAGACAUCGAGUGAAAUAGGGCACUGACCGGCCCCAGGGUGGGGUUGGCUGGCCCCAACUGUUCCUCCUCUAUGGGUCUCGUUCCUUCGGUUGUCUUCUAGACCCUUCCUAAGUCUUCUUGUGAUAUUUUCCGGUGCGGAUGAGUUUCAUGGAAAAUAUGUACUUGGAUCCCUCUUUUCAGCUCUUUGUGAAAUAAACCCUAGAAAAUACAAAAUAUGCAAAACUCGUGGAAAUUGUUAGAUAAAUCCUAGACUAAUGUAUUUUCAUGUGUUCCCUUGUGUCUAAAGUUCUAAUAAAUUUUGAUGUUAACGACGGUCAACAACAACCACCCUUUUAAUUUUUUGUAAGUAGAAAGAAUGAGGUGGUUUGAGAUCUCAAAUGUGAAAAGGUUGUAGAGACCAAUUGAAUUGGGAGGUGUCUCAUACGAGCAAAGACUUGAUGAAGUGUUUAUGAAGUAGCUUCCUUGCUCAUUGAAGUCUCUAUUAUUUCAAACUUCCAAGGAUGCUUUGUCAUAAAUGUACAAAACUUCCCUUAGAUUGCCUUUCGAAUUGUUCUCAUAUAAGUCCGCGUCCACAAAUCCAAUGGCAAUGGCAUAUUAGGUUUUAAUGCUAUUUUGCCAUUGAUGUUGCUCUUCGCGAUCCUCCUUAUGGACUAGAUGAUUCCUAUGCAUGGGAUAUUUAAUGGAUUUCUAGAAUCAUCAGGAGAUUUUAGAGCAUAGAACAAGCAUAGUGGUCAAGGAUGGGUUUAGAGAUGGGUUCAUAUUUUAUAUCUAAUGUGGGCAUAGAAGGAGACAGGAUAAGAGUGGCUUCUAGAUGGCCUUGCUCUCUGUUGACGGUCACUAACGCACACUUUUAUCCUGCAACUAUUGCUUGUUAUGAAAUUAUAUGAACCACAAAGCAUAGUUGUAUGGUUUGAAACUAACAAGCUCCACGAGUUUUGGUGAAUCUAUGUUUUAUAGGGCUUAAAAUGGAAAAGGACCAGAAUAACCAAAUAGAAGUAUCUGAACUGACGAAUUGGAGUGAAGAGCUCAUUGAGACAUAUGAAAUAAAGUUUUGAUUCACCCAAAUCGGAGUCUACAUGACAAAGUUACGCCUUCCAAAAGAUUGCAAAUGGGCUUCUAGAGCAGUAUGAAGUAAAUUAGUCAUACCUCUCUCAUCCGGACUCCGUUUUGAGUGAUCCAUGACUUUUUGGAAAGCUAACAAAAAGAUCUAUCAACCUUGAAAAGUGGGGUCACUUGGCAAAGACGAAGGUGUAGGCUCCCACCUGUCAGGGGCGGCCAUCCGGCGAGCUAGACCAAUGAGGGUAUACCUCGUGGAUCCUCCAUCCACAGCCAUUGAGGAGUAAUCUUGAGCGUACAUGUAAGUCGGUUUGAUCCGAAGGCUAUGGUGCUUCCGUGGGUGCUAUAAAUAGAAGCCUGACCCUCCUCAGGGCAUAUCCUUCAUCUUCUUCAUUAGCUACAUCUAGAGCAAAAACUAGGGUUUCAUCAAGUAGAAGUAGAGGUCCCUCUAGUUCAUCUAGUUCUAGUUCUAGUUCAUCUAGUUCUAGUUGUAUAAUUGUAUAUGGAUUAGAGGGAGAAAGAAGGGGAGAGAGCCAAGGAGGAGCUGGAUCUGUCGGAUCUUCCUCAACAUUAUAUAUUGCAGAAGCUUGACCCUCCUCAUGGUGCUUAGUCUUGCAAUUACCUAGAACUGCACCCAAUCCAACAUAUUGUUGUGGUAGCCCCAGGAUCAUGACAGUCAUGACGGCCGACGUAUUCUACCAUGUUCAGAUUGGUGUUGUAGGACCAUAGUCAGAGCUUCUUAGCCCUCAUCUCAUAUCUUUUGUGUGGUUAGUGUUGUGAUGUCCCAAGAUAAUUAACCUUAGAGUAAAUCCUGAUUCCUAGAUCAACCUAUAGAACUCUUAGGAAAAUUCCUCUCUACCCUACAAAAUUAUAUAUAUAGUUAUCCUUGGGCGAUCUCAAACUCAACUAGUACACUUUACGUUCCCCGUGGAAAAUCGAUACCUUGGAAUACUCCCAACUGAAAGCUACGUUGGUAUCCGUGCGUUUGCGGAUUUUUUUGUGUGUGUUUAAAAUAUCCAACCAGCUUUCUGGCGCUGUUACCGGGGAACGGUAGCUGUUCUAGAAUGAAACCAAGUUUUUCCAAGUUUCCUUUUUCAUUUACCACCUUUUUAAGUUUUUACUUCUUUCCAACAAUAACCUAAAUGCCACACCCAUUUAUCAAUAUGCUACACCCAUGUAACACCCAAAAUUCAAUUUUCUAUAUAGGAUGAAAUUAGUUUUAUUUAAAUAUUUUGGUGAGCAUUUAAUUUAAUAAAUAAAUAAAUUUUUGUUGAAAUUAAAAUGUAUCGUAAGGUUAGAAACUUGUUUAUCCGUUCAUGCUGGGGCAUAAUUUUAUUUUGUAUUGUGUUCAUUGUUUUAAUUUUUUGUUGAAUUCAAUUUCUCCUUUGAAAAGCUUUGGAAGAUAAAUUAGAAAAAAAGACAACAUCUCACUCGUUUUGGUCGAAGCCUUUCCCUCUGCGCGCGGCCCAUUCUCAGACGCCUCAGAGCCAGGCCGCAGGCAGGUGCUGUCUCCCUCCCCUCUUCUUUCUCUAGCGACCGGGCGCCGGCCUUUCUCCCACCGUUAGCAUGGCCCCACCCAUCAACCGGUCAUCUUCCUCCCAUGUGACCGAGAUGGAUACCGAGAGCACCGAAUCCUUCCCAAUCCCGAUUUCUGUGGGAUAUGGUCACCCCGUGCUCCUUUAAAUACUCAACUCUUUCCCCUACGACCUCUUUUUCCAUCUACAGUGUCACGGAAGCCAUCCUAGCCCUUGGUUCGUGAGUUUGGAUCUCAUCGAGUCACCGGUUUUGAACCCCGGCGCUGCGAGCUCUCCCCGCACCUCCUCGACCCAAACAAGAUAUUCCAGUGAGCCCAGGGUAAGCUCCUCCGUGUUUUGGUGAGUUUCUUUCAUUGUUUGGCGCUCGGAAAUGCUGUAUCGAUGAACUCCAGUGAGCUCUACGGUGGUGGCCAUCGCACCACCGAGCCGGCGCUCAGUUUCGGCCGGCAGUCGGCCACCGCCAGUGCCCAGAUGGAUUUCCAGCCGCUUGAUCGUAGAUCCACGGCUAGAAACAAAAGAUACCCUUCCGGGUGCGACAUUUGUUAAAGAGUUCCUAAACUUUUUCAUAAUAGAACCUACCAUCCUUUGACGUAUUCCUGAUAUACGUUUUCUGGUUUUCAAAACAUAUUUCCUCUCGGGUUAUGACAGAAUAUGCUUUCAUAUAAUUACAAGAUUGCCACUUAUUUUAGAUUGCCCAUAAAAUGCUCAUUUUAAUUCCGAUUUGACUCGUUCAAAUUGCGUUAGACUCAUCCUGUCGAGACCUACAUGAUAGUUUUACUAUUUCACCAGUUUGCAACUUUUUUUAUUUCAUAGUACUAUUUAAUUAAUUAUCCCUUUCAUGCUGGAACUUUUUAAUUACUUUAUAAAAUUCAUAACUUUUGUGUUUUAAUUAUGAUUUUCGUGAUCUUUACGUUUUUUUGAUCGUAGCGCUGCGUAGAAUGUUUUUAUAAACUUUUAUAUUUGUUUUUCCACUAUUGGUGUAUUGUUCUAAUUAUAGCUUGUUGCUUUGUGUAUGAUUGUCUCUAUUGGAAUGCGUGUUGUUGAUUGAUGAUCAAGUAUAGACGGUGAGCCGUAUGUUGGUGAGCAAGAUCAAGUCUUUGACGACUAGCAGGAGUCUCAGGAGAGCUUUGAUCAAGCCAAGUAUAACUUGGGACUAUCCUUGUUACCUACACUCAUUUAAAAUAAUAUGUCAUAUGCAUGUGUCCACCUUGACAACCUUAGGGAAAAUCAUAGAUGAUUGUUACUUCCUUGUUACCUAUUUGAUAUGCAUUUGGUGUAGUUAUUGCUAGUGCUUGAUGUAAUCCAUGAUCCUGUAAGGUAAUUAAUAACUAUGCAGUGGACAUAAAAAGUUGACAUAUAACUGUAUGAGGUAUUGUCUGUACGUGAUCAUCUAGGAUAACAGUGCAACCAUGAGGGCUAUAAUAGCUUUGGCUUUAGCUCAGUAUGAAGACCUUUUCUAGCUUGUUAGAGGUUACGCGAAAGGGUGCUAGAGGGGCUUGCUGUUUUGGGUAUAGUGUGGCCUCUGUCCUUAUGUGUAUAGGCUACGUGUCAUUCUGCCAUUUGGGGGCUCUACAUCUACACAACCGAGAAACCUUGCGGCCAUAACAUGUUAGACAAACUUUUGAAAGGCUUCAUGGUGAUCCCUGCCGACCUUCCCUGGUAGUGGGUUAAGAGGCUGAUCACCUCGUAUUAAAGGGUAAAUCAAGACUCAUGUGUAAAUACGUACAACCUCUAUAUUGUGUUAAAAACUAGUAUACUAGCCGAGCUCAUGGUCAGGAGCGGCCUUGGAGACAUCUACAUUAAGAUGAUGACGCUUGUUAUGUUAUUAUGAUCAUUUACUUAUCGUUUAUGUUUAGUAUUAAUUAUGCUUACAUUUGAUCAUGUGGUUAUGUAAUUUAUUAUGCGGCUUUGACUUCUGUUAUCUAAAUAUGAACAUGCUUCAUACACAUUGAAGCUAAAUGCAGUUAAGCCAGUGUCAGCUAAUUGAGCAACCUGAACCCAUGGUUAUACUUGUUGAGUAUGAUAUGUGCUCACUCUUGCAAUUUCCGAACACCUCAUGUUAUGCAAAUGAUGAUGACUGAAAUGAGGAUUAUCGAUAUGAGUACUAGGUUUGGAGUCAACCAGUCAACAUUUGUCCCUGUGUGGUGCUUCUGCUGAGAGAGUUUCUUUAAUACAAUUAUCUUCAUUGUAUAAGACUAUGUGAUUAUUAUUGUUCCGCUAUGUAAUAAACAUUGUGAUGAUACUCUUGAGAUUUGUCUACUUAUGUGUGUGACUGUUUUUGGGGUGCACAAGAGUCUUUUAUGCAUCCUAUUUGAUCACUGAAAUUUGGGUGUGACAAAUUGGUAUCCAAGCUUUGUUGACUGUAGGACGCAACCCUAAUUAGUAAUGGACAAAAUUUAGGUCCUUUACUUUAUUUGUUUCAUGCUUUUUACUAUAGCCUUGUUAUUUGCUAAAAGUUUUAUUUUUAUGCUUCUUCAUCUUAUUCUAUUAUAAAAAUUAUUGCAUCUAUCUGAUCUAUGUCUACAAAAACUUUUGUAUAUGCCUCCGCGUACCCAUAGUGUUGCACGCAUGACUGCUGAGAAGUACCGUGCCCUGUUCAACCCAAGGGGACAGCAUAUGGAGGAUGUUCCUAAGCUUGUAGAUGAAUAAUCAUAGGUAAGAGGAGCUCAGGAGGAAAAUGCGCCCGACGAUGAAGAGAUGUACGACCAACCCCAACCCUAUCCUGCUCAAAUAACUAAUACAUAGAUGGGUUGGACCACAGUGGUCUGGUUUCCAGAGUCAGACCCCAAAGCUUUCUUCCAUGAACUACUGGUGCUAGCAUUGGAUCACUACUACCCAGAUUUGUAGGCUACACUAGAGUAUUGUUGCACAGAGUACAGGCAUCCCCUCAAGGAAUCACAUUGGGACAUCGAGCUGACAAUCAAAUCACUAGAUGCUACCACAAAGAUUCAUAGGGUGGAGUCAAGGCACCUCUCCUGGGUCAGUCGGGCUACUGCAAAGGAUAGUAUGGCGGAUGCAGCAUACCACACAUUGGUCUAUUAUCGUGGCACACGCUUUGAGGAAGCACAACAUGACUCGCCAUAUCAUUGUCCUCACUACGUGCCAGAGGAAGAGGUUUGGACCAUAGAGGUUCCAGAUACAACAAUAUCGAAGCUUCAGGCGCAAGUACUGCUGACCUCCGAAUUAAUUUACAAGGUGAGCGGCUUCGAGGACGAACUGCGUCAUGAGAGAUAACUCCUGGAGCAGGAUUGAAGGGAAGCGCAUGAUCUUCGAGCAAAGCUAGGCCGUCCCAAGCUUCAUGAGAAGAUUCGUUCAGGACCCAUCAUGAAGGACGCUGCUCCAGAGGAAUAGGCAACCCACAAGUAAUAGGAACGUUAGUAGUAUCGUGAGUCAAGUCGAGUUUUUUUAGUGUGGUGUGAACUUGGUGUGCUUGCUGAAUUUGUUAUUAUGAUAAUGUGUGAUUUGGAAUUUUGUAACGAGUGCUGGAGCUUUGUGGGCAUGUCUACAAGUUCCCUAGUUAAGGACCUUAAGUAACAACAUGAAUAAAUAGUGGGUUUGGGUCAUAUUCAGAUUUUGUCCUUUGUUGAUUUCUAAAGCAGUGUGCAAUGAUUCUGAUAUAUUUCAAUUUCUCUUCGUGCAAAGUUUAUCACCAUUUUCUGGGAACAAUUAGACUUCUGUAUCUUUUCAAUGCCGCAAGAAUGACAGUAUUAUCUAUUAUGAGCUGUGAGAUAUAACUGUUCAAAGUUGAGGUUUCUGCACAGUCUAGGAUUCUAGAAUAGUUUAGGUUAUGCUCAGUUUUGACUAAUUUAAUUAUAGAAUCUGUUAAUAUUAUCUAAAUGGAAGCUGUAGAUAAUUUCUUUAUCUUUGAAACGGUGUAAAGUAUAUGUUGGAGUUCUGGAACUCGAGAUAUAACUGGUUUUCUCAACUGCUGAUGUUGGAUAUCGCCCAGAAAAAUUCAGAUUCAAUUAUCACUUAUACUUAUCAUGUUGGAUAUUACUAAGAUCUAUUUCUGUACCUUGGAAUGCAGAUGGUAGCAAGGGGAAGAGGCAGAGGCAGAGGCUGCGGCAGGGGUGCCAAUGCCCUAAUUUCUAUGGAACAGCUCAUGUAGACUCAGAACGAGAUGAGCAUGCUUUUAUGCAACACCUUCAGCAUCAACCUAUACCACUGCCACCACCACCACCUGUCCAUGUGAGGGAUAAGUGUCGAGAAUUUAUGAAGGGAAGACCUCUGGUGUUUACUCACUCCAUGGACCCUAUGGAGGCAGAUGACUGGCUGCAUGCUAUGGACAAACAAUUGAACAUAGCACAAUGCAAUGAUUUUGAAAAGGUGUUGUAUGCUUCUGGAGAACUGCAGGGUGCAGCUCAGACUUGGUGGGAGUCUUAUCAAGCUACUUGUCCCAACAAUGCCCCUGCGUCACUUGGUAGGAAUUUUGUAGAGAUUUUAGAGCAUGACAUAUCAAUGAAGGAAUGAUGGAGCUUAAGAAGAACGAAUUUAGAUCUCUUAGAAUAGGCUCUAUUACUGUCGCUAAGUAUCAUGAUACAUUUGAGCAGUUGGCUCGCUAUGCCCCAAAUGAUGUCUGGGAAGAUGCUGAUAAGCAUAGUCUGUUCAUGAAAGGUCUUUUCUAUGAACUCAGGUUGCAGUUAGCUGGAAAUACCUAUCCUACCUUCUAGGCUCUUGUGAAUCAUGCUACUGUGUUAGAUAAAAUGCGCAAAGGUCAGGAUAAGAAGAGGAGGAUGCUAGAACAAGGUUCUGGUAGCAAUAACUGCCAGCAUUUCAAUUCUCAGCAGGGUUUUCAAUAGUGGUUCCAAGGACCAAUUAGUCAGUGGAACUGCAACCAGCACCCUCAAUGUUUCUAGAACCAACCAUAGAAUGGGAAUCAGCGCCCUCCAUUCCAGUAGCGUAAUCCUAAUCAAUAGCAGAGUGGUCAGCAAACAUCUUGUUUAGGAAUUUCAAAUGCCACCCCUAUGAAGAGUAGUGCUCCCAAUACUCGUAAUAGGUGUUUUCAUUGUGGGAAGGAAGGACAUUUGUCAUAUAACUGCCUAGAGAAGUUCAACCAGCAGAACAACAAUCAAAAGUCUACUUCUUAUGCGGGAAAGGUGAACCAUGUGUCUGUAGAGACGGUUCAGGGGGGAUCAGAACUUAUGAUGGGUACGUUCAGCAUCAACUCUAUCCCUGUUAUCGUUUUAUUUGAUUCUGGAUCUUCACAUACAUUUAUUUCACAAGCAUUUGUUAGAGUUCAUAGCAUUCCACUAGUUGCCAUGAAUACCUAGUAAACUCACCGGGAGGGACUAUACAAGUUACUUAUUAUUGCCCCUCAACAAGUCUUUCUUUAAGGGAGGGUAGAUUUCCCUAUCAGUCCUAUGGUUAUGAGAACUUCAGGCAUAAAUGUGAUUUUGGGUUUGGACUGGAUGGAGAAACAUGAUACGGAUAUUAAGUACAAAGAGAAAGUAAUUGCUGUGACAACACCAAACGGAGAGCGAAUCAGUGUUCAUGUGGUAGUACAGGCUUCACCCAUAGGCACAGUAAAUCAGCUGGAUGAUGAUGUUUAUCCUCAGGACCGUGUAGUGAAUGAAUUCCUAGAUGUUUUUCUAGAUGAAUUGCCAGGUAAGCCACCUGACCGAGACAUUGAAUUUAUUAUUGAAUUACUACCUGGUACUGCACCUAUAGCUAAAAAGUCAUAUAGAAUGGGGGUUAAUGAACUAGAAGAACCUAAGAAACAAAUAAAGGAAUUGCAAGAUAAAGGGUUCAUUUGUCCUACCUCUUCACCUUAGGUGCUCCAUUUAUUUUUGUUGAUAAGAAAGAUGGUAGUCAAAGGAUGUGUGUGGAUUAUCGGUCACUUAAUGAGGUUACCAUCAAGAAUAAGUAUCCCUUGCCUAUAAUUGAUGACUUAUUUGACCAAUUAAGAGGUGCUUGUGUGUUCUCUAAGAUUGAUUUGCAUUCUGGUUGUUGAUAUUUGUUAACGCCAUCAGGAAAUGAUCCACAAGCACAUGGAUAUCGGUGAGCACUUCACCCGGGAGGUUAUCCAGAGUAUCCUAUUUAUAAUUUUACCACUGGGAGAAAGCGUGCAUCUGACUAACCAAAUCUAUUGCUACUACCCUUUAGGCUACAAAUAAUGUGAUUGGAUGUGAGUGAUGUAUAGAGAAGACUACAACCACACUCUCGUUCUAACCUUGGUAAGGAUGAUCUACUGUUCUAUUGGGGAGGCUCACGGAAUCUAGACACCACAAAGGAUGUUUGACCCGCACCUAUAAACCCUACCGAUCCUGCUAAUGGGAUGUGGGCUACAAAGGUAACUUGGAAAUGUCACGUUCCUCGCUACUACCACGGUCCAGCUAGACAGGGGAUAUCUAUGAGUACCCUAGCACAAACACCACGUUUACGCUAGCAAUGAUUACUCUAAACUCAACCGGAAGAUAUUAAAGUAAACUGAUAAACCAAAGAACAAUAAGAACAAAGAACUUACUAUAAUUUAGAAGUCGAAAUACUAAAGAAUCCUAGGAGCAAGCCUCGGGUUAGGAGACUUGAUCCUGCAGGUACAACCUCGGAGUAGACACCGACAGGCCAGGCUUCCUCCGAUCUACACCUCCACUCUAUCUCUCUCAAUCUAGUAGAAAUAGUUCUACUCUCACAUUGAAUGCUAAGCCCUAUGAGGUGGGAACCCUAAGAACCUCUCUCUCUGAAUCCUCUCUGGAAAAUAUGCUAAUGAAUAAUGAGGAUUGCCUCCUCUAGGGGCCAGGGGCCUUGCUUAUAUAUCCCUUUCAAAUGAAUUUGGGCCGUCGGAUCAAACCGACCUUAAUCGCACAGUUUUCCUUGAUCCUUUAGGUCGAUGGAGCAUAAUCCGCGAGAUGGGACCUGAUUGGUCUCUGUAGCAGGGCGGGCGCCCGAGGGGGAGGGCGGGCGCCCUGCCCCUGGGCCCGCUCGGCCUCCCAUUCAUUCUUGUGGCUUAUGGACUCUUCUAGAUGAUAGAAAAUUACGCGGCACGUUAAUAUCUCUAUGUAAACCCGACAUGUGGGCCUUUCCUCCAUAUUUCCUGAUAACCCCCUACAGAAAUAGACAAACACCAAAACUCGUGGAAUUCUGUCAGAUAAAACCCUAAGUCUGGGUGCUGGUUGCAUUUGGAUCCUUUUCUUUAUUUAUUUGAUGAUUAUAUUUGGUACUUAAGGACCGUCGACAACUCCCCCAAGCUUACCUCUUGCUCGUCCCUGAGCAAGGAUGGACUCAAGAGUUUCUGCAGUGGUUUCAUGCCUUAAAAGUACACAUGUGUUCAAGCAAGAUCUCAUCUCUAAACUGUUAAGACUUAAAACUUACUCAUUUUACCUUUCACCAUGGUGCUUGCAACCGUCACUUGUGUCUUGAGCAGUUAAAAGAUAGAACAGUCUAGUCAAGCGCCAUGUCUCUUGUUCUUUGAUUAGCUAUAGCUCUAAAGUUUUUGCAGAUUUUCAAAUAAAACUCAGAGAUUCCUUGUAUGACUCUCUCAAAUCUCUCUUUUGUGGUAUUUUUGGAUCCUUACCAAGACAGUAAUGCUAUAUGCCUUCUCUCAAAGUAUGUGGUAUUUUUGGUAUGAGGCAUAGUGAUAUUGCCUUCUCUCUUACCCUACUCUAAUAAGGUUUUGAUAUCUGGAGCUCAUAGGUGGGAGACAGAUAAUACAUACUUACAAGACAUUUAUUGCAUAGUCAAACCAUGGAUCCAGAGAAACAAGUCAACAAGUCAAAUCAAGAUGUGCAUAUGUGUUGAGUAAAUGGUGUAUAGUGAUGAUGGUGAUAACAAUAGUGAAAGUCUAAUUCUACUUUUGCUCUUUUUAGGGGAUACAUACCUUUCUUGCACUUUGAAGCUUUUUGAGGAGAAUGAGAUGCUCUAUAUUUUCUUUUUCCUUUUCUCUCAAGUGGGUAUCUUGUACCCCUAAUUCUACUAUCAGACACUUGUCCAUUUUUACCUCUCGUCUCACUUUUUAUUUUCUUCGAGGUUCCGGGCACUUGCCCCUUUUUAUUUCCUCAUAUCUUUUUCUUUUUUUGAGGUUCUGGACACUUGCCUAUUUUUAUUUCCUUGUAUUCAUCAUCAUUUUUUAGAUCACUCACCCUCCUGGAAUAAUGUAGC
rnacentral:lncRNA from 1 species